UGUUGGGUAGGAGCGGGUCGAGUCCGUAUCACCGCGGAACAACUGCAGCGUCCGGAUCUGAUCUAUCUACUCGGCAAUUCAUCCGGUGACUUCACGGUCGCCAAAGAAGCCCCAAGAAGCAUCAAACAUUUCCGAUGAGAUCCAUGGUGCUAUUCUGAGAUAGCAGGCACUAGCUCCCAGUGCGACUUCAUAAAAAGCAAUCAAAGAUAAGAUCGAAGAAAAUGAAACGCACGUGGUGGUCAUUAUAGCGGUUCCUUCAGAUCCUAGAAAACGUCCAAAAAAACUGGCUACGGAACUACCGAGCAAAGGCAAAAAGACAAUAAGUAGAUACAUAAGAUCGAGUCUCUUCAAAAAAAAAUCAGACAAUGUUCGAGCGGCCUGUCAUUGAGACAAAAACGUGUUAAGCAUAUAAGACCUGAGACUUUCCUCUCUCUCCGAUUGCCGCUUUAUCGCAGAACAUCUAUUUGCUUUCUAUUCGACAAGAAGGACAAGGAAAAGAUAAUGGAUAUGGAACACAGGUCCUGGCACUAUUGGAAAAUGAAGCUCUCUCAGUUCAAACAUAUGAGAUUACUUACCCCGGGAACAAUUUCAGUACAUAUGGCGCAAGACGAUUCCACAUAUAUAUCGAGGUCAGAAUGGGAUCGGGUGUUUUCACGUCUCACCGUAGUGCAGCUUUAUACCACUGAUUUGACCAUUUUGCUGUGCUAGGCUGACCAUUUGGGGAAGAUACUCCAUUAAAAUUCUGAACAAGUAAGGGAACAGCUCUGGAUCCCAAGACAAGACUUCCUCUCAUAUUUAUAUUGAAAAAUAUGAAAACUAAUUAUCUUUAUUCUAGUUCCCUAAAACCCUUUCCGUGGCAUUCCUUUCUGUUCCACUCAUCCAACAUUGUUGGAUGCCAAAGACUUUGACGAAGACCAUUCUUUACCAAAGGAUGCGUCGAAGCGUGACAAAGAAAUGGCUGUCAAAGAGAAGGCCAAAAAUGCCAAUCUUCAAGCCAGAGGCGAGGGACAACAACCUUUGCCCGGCGGGGCGGCGGCUUCCUCAGAAAAAGAGAAAACUCUCUCACUCUCCUCUUUGACUGAACACUUGAGAUAGAUAUUGAUCAUAGAUAGGUACUCACAUUCACGGAAGUAAUGGUAAGGAAUCCCAGUAGUAUCUUCUCCCGGUGUAUGUGAAAGAGAAAAAGUGACGGGGCUCAUACUUCAGCGCUGCAGUGCUUGGUACUCGGACCUCGGCUCGAUGCAUUUUCUCUACCCCUUCUUACCCUGAAAAAGCAGGGUCACCUUGUGUCGUUUUUAUGAGAAGCGAGUUGUUCUAGGCUGGGCGGAUCCUGAUCUCUAAUACCGGUACUACGUCCUUGCCAAGAAUUACCAUAGGCCGGUCUUUCUUUGAAAUAGUCCUCUCACGCAUAUUCCUUUACUACCAAAGUAAUGCAUAUCCGGGGACCUUUUCAACAUACUUCUUUUCCUCUAUCAAAAAGCCAAUACCGACGCUCGCUUAUCAGCUUACCAGUUCAAACGGGUUUUAAAGUAGGUUCUACACAUUCGAGAAGACCCAGGCGGAUUGGAGUGGUUGUGCGCCGGGGCAAUCUCUGCUUGCAUUUCGCAUUGGAAUUUCAAGUACUAAGACAGGGGAGAGAUCUUUAUAAGGAAGGCUUGCAUCUGAAAAUAGUAGUAGUAGUCUAAGGAGUGAUUUGUACUGGAAAAACCUGCCAAUGGGAGCAUAGCUGGUCUUUAUUGUCCGCUCACUUCCUUCAAUCAAAGCAAGGGUUGUCUUUCCAGGAACUAGCAAACCAAACAAGCAGGCUAGCAAAACUAGGAUAAAGUUUGAUCCACCACUUACACUGGAAGGGCAAGAACUAAUGCUUAUGCGUAUUCUUCCACGGCAUAUAGAUGGUUAACUACUCCAACUCGAUGGCUGAGAGAAAAGUGAAAUCCUAGCUUGGAUAAGAAUCAUACGCUGCGAAUGAGCAGACGAAUCGACCGAGGGCUUACACACAAGAACAGAACCUAACUCUACUUCUUUUUCCUCCUUUCCUCUUUACUGCCCCCGCUAUACUAUCAACAGGUCAGUCAAUAUCGCAUCACAUCACCUAAAAGACUGAUAUCCAGCUCCAUAUAAUCCAACAAUUGGGCUCUAUUCUCCUGAAGAGAAGACACUUGAACUUCGUCAUGUGCUAUUGAGCCUUUUGAACCUAAGUGCGGACAUAAAGUCUUAGCCAAUGUUUCUAUACUAUUAGGGAGUAGAGUGUAUGAAUCUCGAUUUGACAUGACAGAGAGAGACUGUCAUCGCCAUCUCUUUGGACAUGCAUGUGUUAAGCAAAUGGACUGAACUGGUUUCUUCAGCCCUUUUUCUAUGUGUUGGUGUUCUAUAUGACCGACAUAAGACUCAACUUGUUAGAUAUUAUGGAGGUUUAGUGAGCACCAUGCCGAAUUUCUCUACCAUUUUCUUCUUUUUCACUUUAGCCAAUAUGAGUUUACCCGGCACUAGCAGCUUUAUUGGGGAAUUUCUAAUCUUAGUAGGAGCUUUCCAAAGAAAUAGCUUAGUAGCCACAUUAGCAGCGCUUGGGAUGAUUUUAGGCGCGGCGUAUUCCCUUUGGCUAUAUAAUCGUGUGGUUUCUGGAAAUUUAAAACCUGAUUUCCUCUAUAAAUUCUCCGAUCUAAAUGGCAGAGAAGUUUCCAUAUUUCUACCUCCAACAGACCGACAAGGAAUGAAGUCAACCUUAGAAAGUAGCCGAUGGGAGGUUUGAUCGGUUAAUGUGGAAAGACAACCCUUGCUUUGAUUGAAGGAAGUGAGCGGACAAUAAAGACCAGCUAUGCUCCCAUUGGCAGAAAUAAGGAUUGAUCGGGUAGUCCCGAUCGGUCCCGAUCAGUUAAUCCCGGAAGUCAUCUGCCACAAUGUCGGGAGCAUACCUCAUCAAGUUGUCGCAUUUCAUAUUGUAGUCCUGAACAGUACCACUCCCUUGUUUUAGGCUAACGAAUUGCUGUCGAAGCGCUUCCCGAGACAUCACAUCUAAAUACUGAUCAUUGAAUUCUCGCUCGAACCACGCCCAAGGAAUGGUUGGAUUUGAACCAUCAUUAUCUCCAUUAUGUCUCUUCUUUGCCUCCUGCCACCAAAAAGGAGAAAGUUUUCUCCCUUUUCACAUAACCGAGAAAAAAGGAAAAGUUACCCUACUACAUGUAUUAGCUAGUUUUGUCUAGUCAACAUCUAACGCUCAUUUCACUAUGGGAUUUAUUUACUCCGAUUGCUUCUACUCUCUUACAGCUGGGUGCGCCUAUAAGGAAGACUUUUCAUAGAUUGACUUUGGGCAGGCAAGUUGAACUAUCCGGCUUCCCUUAAAGUAUUCACUUUUCCAGGAGCCGACUUACCAGUUAGUACUGGCACUUUUACAGGAACAGUACCAGAGACUCAUCUCGUAAGAAGACAUUUUCAAUUAGACACUACUAGUCGAGGACUGCGAACUCAACUAGAUAUUCUGCACAUUCCAGUUUACCUUUUUAAAUCUUUUUUUAACUCCCCGAGCUACUACUCUGUAGAUUAACUAGUGUCUCCGAUUGCUUGGAUGAACAGAGCUCUCUUCUCUCCCAAUAUGUUUAUUUGACGGAGUCUAGUGCGUAUUCAUUUUCUUCAAGUCUUGGAUUCAAAAGGUUUUUUCCGGUGUAGGAUUCUUCCUACCCAACUUUGGCCAUUGAAGAAUGAGUCUUUGCUUUGUCCCCCGGGAUCCACCACAGGUUGGGUUUGAGAGCCGUGUGAUGGGUGACUAUCUAGCACGGUUCAGAGAGCACGUGUAUGUAGUCUGCGCUGGUGAAUACCACACGUGCAAGUUUCCCUGCAUGUGGCUCGUCCGUGAUAACUUCUUCGGAUUUGCCUGAACUAGCGGACCGAUCACUAAGUGGUUGCUUUCGCUGAUCGGCGCUAGUCUUUCCUGCUGUGAAUUUCCCAGGUCGAGAGGGGCCCUUUCCUUCUACCUUACUGAACCCAUUCACCAAUGAUUGGAGCCCUUUCACUAGUGGUUACUCCCGAUCCGAAGCACCCCUUUUCCAUUCAUAGAGAAAUCCAAUCGUCAAAAUCAAUAAAAAGGCCAUCAUGGACCAAGAUCCAAACAGAUCAAUCUUGUUAGGAGGUACUGCCCAAGGAAAAAAAAGGUGACUUCCUGAUCAGGGAUAAUAAAUAAAAUAGGAACCGGAUAAAAUCGUAUAUCGAAACGACUUCUGGCAUCACCGGAGGGAUUGAAACCACGUUCGUAGGCCGACAAUUUUUCUGGAUAGGUCGAACUAUUGGAAGCAAAUGGAAAAGGAACACCGAGUGGAAUCAAAGAAACUAGCGGACUGAUCACUAAAUAGAUACAAAUAGGUGCAAAUUCCGACAAAAAUGCACUUUCAUAGCCAUUUAUCGUGAUAGCGUAACUGCCAAAUCAUCCAAGUAAGGAAAUCGAUAAGCACGAAGAUUUCUCUCAAAGACGAGAAUAUCAUUCAGUCUUGAGAAAUGCAUGUGAAUGAGGAGCCGGUAUAAAUCGUAGGAACUCUUUGGAAGAACGAAUAACCACUGGGAUAAAAUGCCCCAAUGGAGCUUACGUUCUGAAUAUAUCCUCCUUGCUCGUAAGCAGGAAAGAUGAUAUUUCUCCAAACUGAAAUUAACAUAAGAUCAUUGGUUCACGAAGGGUAGAUUUCGCAGAUUUGACUGAACACAGAUAAACUAUAAACGAAAAUAGAGAACUGGAUGCGGUUAAGCAUACCACUUCGGAAAAGUGGAAAGGCACGGUGUUAAACCAUAGGCCUUUAACGGAACUCGAUCACUUAUUAGACCGAUAUAUGAACGGCAACCUCUUUAGCUUUUCCACUCCCUCACCACACCAACCACUGUGUGAUACUGAACACCCACACAAUCUCGAUUUAAAAGAGAGAGACUGUAAGGCUAGAAUUGGUUCACACAUAUGUGUGGGGGCCGGUCCAAUCACUCGGUAGAUCACGCUAUUAUGUCACCUUCAUUGAUGAUGCGACUCGGAAGGUAUCCAGCUGUUACGAACUAUCAGAUAGUCAAGAAUUGACAGGAAUGAAGGGAAUUGAUUUCAGGGAUCAGAUAAAGAGGGAAUUUAUGAAAUAAGAGUUACGAGAACAACUAGUCGAACGGAAGCAUUAGUUUCUCUACGAGAUGGAGAUGGCUCAUUCUCUAGUUUUCCUACGAGAUAUAAGUCAGUUUCUAACGUACUUUGAAGUUCAGGAAGGAGUUAUUAAUUAAGACGAAGAAGAACCCUCGCUUGGCUUUGUCCCGAACCAAGGAGGCAUGAUGGCGGGCGCGUGCGUGUGCCGACUGCAGAGACUACAAGCCGACGCCGGAAGCAUCGCUUUCUUUCUUCUCCCUCCAUUUUAUUCACUACUACCGCUUCUACACAUAAAUCAAAGAAGCAUUGUGGAAUAGUGGCAUUUCAUUAAUGUCGAAAAUGUUCUUAGUGAAAGGGUUGCCUUCCUUCUUUUCAAUAAGAAGAAGUAUUUGAAAUGAAACAAAUUCCUCUUCAUUCUGUUGUGCUCAGCGAAGGAACUGCGUAAGCAUACUUUUGCGGCACCAUUGGCCGAAGCAGACCUGGAAGCUGAUCUGCGAGUGAAUGAAAUUGAACGAUUAAUAUCGCCUUUCAUGCUAAAAUCGGACGAUUUCGACCUUACGUUCACGAUACUCCUUCCUGUCCUUGCGAUGUUUGGUUAAGUGUUAUCAAUCAGCUUUACUCUUCUUCCAGCAUUCUUCUAAGGUUUGCCUCUAACGAUGGUUGAAUAGCUCCUGUUGUUUUUAUUCCAUUGAAUUGAUUUCAUGAACUUCCCUCAAGCUGAAACCGGAACGGGAUUGUCAUUUAGCUUCAAUUUCUUCAGUCUCACAAGCGGGUCCGCAUGCAACAAAAGAAAUUGUAUUUGCCUACUACUCCGACCUCAGGAAUGCAAGCAAGCGAGGCCAGAACAAGGAGUGUCAAGAAAAACAGUAGCCGUUUACUCACAAGCUAACACGAAGCACGAAACACAUGGAUUCUCUGAGAACCGGACUGACCCAACCAAGCAAUCACUUGAGCCAUUCACACCUUGGAAGAGCUAUUCAAAGGUUUUCUGGCUGACUAUGAGGACACCUCUGCAUCCCAGGAGCAGACCGCUCCCCCGGAAUCUGUGGUCAGUCAAGAGCGGCAUCCGAAUCCCGCUCCGAUUCAACCUUGACCCCAGGGAUCUCCUCUCCCCAACUACACUAGGCUCAAGGUGGAAUAACGAAAGGAGGGUGCGUGCGAUAGCUAACCGAUUGAAGGAAAUUCCUCGCCUAUCUUAUUCUUUUUCAGUUCCGAUCAUCAUUAUACGAUCCAAGUCGUGGAAAAGCCGAGUGGGAAAGCCGAAACCGAGGUAACUUAGGCGUAGGUCAAAGCACGGGCAUGGAAAAGGGAUUAUAUGGCGUGCUGGGCUGGAUGAAAGAAGCAACUACGCCCCUGGUACAUUUCAACGCCCAUGAAUUCUAUAUUUCAGCAGUAUCUGAGGCCAUAGCUCUCAACUCAGCUUCAGCACUCGAGCGGGACACUGCAGUCUGCUUCUUGGUUUUCCAAAGGUCCGGAGGAGCGGAAGAGUUUAUAGUCGAGAAGGGUCGGGCAUUAGCAAAUCCUUCAAUCCCAACUCUUGAAAAGAAGCAUUUCCUCCUGAUUGUCCACCUUUUCGGAGAAAGAAGCACAUCACUUAUACGAGAUUCUGAAAUGAUUGUUAUCUCUAGGCACAUCUUAUGGGCGGAUGUUGCUCCUCGGAAAACGCGUAUAGUAGUCUCAUUGGCCUUCGUCGAUGGGACAAACGCUCCAGUGUAUGCGUUACAAGGCAACUAGCAUGUUGGAUUAGAAGUUCGUGAAAGUAUGUUCUCAUUUUUCGUUGGAACAACCAACCAUUUUCUUCUCCAAGUUGAGGUUCAGGGUUCGGCGGGGUGUGGCUUGUGGAUGGCUCUCCCCGAUCUGGAACAGCCCCGAAUACGUGUUCCAGGGGAACUUCCGGAAUUGAAUAAGGGUCAAAACGGGGCUGUUCCCCUUGCGGCACCUCUCAGUUCGGAUUGUUCUCUGCAACUCGGGAACAUGAAGUUGAAAUCGCUAGUAAUCGCGGAUCAGCAUGCCGCGGUGAAUAUGUACCCGGGCCCUUCCUUUGUUCCUCUUCCUUCUGCGCAGAUACUUUUGAUCCACUCCUUUCCUAUACCGCGCCCUCUGCCUAUUACGGUCGAUACCCAGAAAGUUGCCGACUACUUUUUUUCAUAAGGGGGGAAGCGAAGCUUAGUGAGCUUAGAGCGAUUUCCUCACAAAAAAAGCACGAGCGAGAUAUUCAUCCUUAACAGGGAUCUCAAUUGCGGGAAGAAGAUUUUUUCUUCAGGAUGGAGCGCAUCAGAUAUUAACAUUUUUGGAUUACUUUUUUCGGGGUUAAUCUGACCUUCUUUCCCAUGCAUUUCUUAGGGCUUUCGGGCAUGCCACAUCGCAUUCCAGAUUAUCCAGAUGCUUACGCCGGAUGGAAUGCUCUGAGCACUCUCAACGGAUCCUCCACGCGCUGCGCUGGGCAUACCAUAGUUCUUCCGUGCGUCUUUAUCGUGGCGGAAACAGAACAAGAGGGAAAGACCCGGCUGGCUCAUUCCAUUGAUAAGCUCAUCGGGCUGCUCGUCGUUAGGAAGAGAAAGUCCUACUGCUGUAACCGCAACAUCAAGCAAGUAGGAUCGGGAUUCAGAUGUUCAAUAAAUAGGUUUGUUAGAAGAGACAGGAAUUUAUUCUUUAUUAGUGCAUGCCUUUUUUUUUGUGAUUCGAGCAGUUCUUGUCACGAGAUGAUGGGCCAGAGAAAAGUUUGAUAGGAAAGGAAGGUGGGGCACUUCGUUGCUGGGCUGGAAUAGAAACUGACGUAUGGAGGACUUGUGAGAUCUUUCACUCUUCGACAACGAAAGCCUUGAGGACGUCAGCGAUGUGUUAUAGGGACGUCAACGAAAGCUAGUAGGGAACUGCAACCAGAGAGAGAGUUCUAGUGAGUCCAGACUCUUUCUUUCGUUCAUCAAAGCGAAGCAUGGCUGCAAUCCCAAACUCAUCCUUUUUUCCGCGAGCAAUCUACGUUUGUGAUCUCGUAUAUUUCGCUUCUCCGACAUCUUACUUAGUUUCCCCCUCAUAUUUUAGCAAAAAGCCGCUCCACAGUAGUAAAGUCUCAUCUUUUGUAUUGGCCGAAGUGACAAUAGUCACAUUACAAAGCAGAGCCCUCGUGAAUACACGUACCAUUAAUGAAGGAACAGCUAGUACUAAUUAUAUGAGGGAAUACUAAUUAUCUAUUCUUAUGUAUUCUCUCACAAUCACUCCUAGCAAUAAGUGAAAAGGCGGCUAUCGAUACUGUCCCAACAACCUCCUCUCAAUUGAUCCCUCGUUACUGCCCAUAGGAGAAGUAAUAGGUAGGGAUGACAGGAUUUGAACCCGUGACAUUUUGUACCCAAAACAAACGCGCUACCAAGCUGCGCUACACUCGUGAAGGUAAUGAAAUUAUCCGAUCAGCUUGCAAAUGGAGUCCUGAACUAGCCAGGUCUCGUUCUUAUAUGCUACCUAGAAUUAUUUAGAACUUAAAUCUUUAAGCAUGUGCUUAGUCAAGGAGGAAACUACUAAAGAACAAAGAAGUCGUCUUUGGUCAGUGAACCAACUUUUGCCGAGCCCCAUUGCCAACUCUAAAUUACAUUCAUUUCACCAGUCCGCCAAUCCAAUUAGGAUUCCCAUCGGUUGCAUCGCUCCUGCUCGCAGUAGUCGUUUCUUCUCCGGUGAAUCAAUUUCUUCUAAACAGAAUAAGGGCGGCAUCCUGCUCUCGACUAUCUCUGCCGCGGAAUGGGAUCGCUUGCCAGCUAGGCCCUCUAGAAAAAAGUUGGAGCAACAUUGUAUGAACUCUCGGGUUUGGAACAGAUAAGUUCUGUACGGAUAACAAAGAAUAGAAAUUGGAGAGCAGGUGCCCUUCCCUGGUUGUUACCUUCCCAGCCCCAAAGGAAAAGCCCUGAUCAUUUGAAAAAAAAGAAGCCAUGCAUGCCGACACGUUUUAACAGAUCAGUAGCAUACUUCUCUUGAGUCAAGAUAAUUCCAUCAUGAACUUUAUUAACUUCUAUGCCCAAGAAAUAGUGCAACGCACCAAGAUCCUUAAGGGCAAAUUCUUCUUUCAAAUCUUGAAGUAAUGCCGAAGUUGCUUUUUCACAAGAACUAGCAACAAUGAUGUCAUCAACAUAUAUCAACACAAAUAUGGAGAUUGUACCUUUCUUGUAAAAGAAGAGCGAAGCAUCUGCUUUUGACGGUUGAAAUCCAAGCCUAGCUCGUUAUUCUUUGAGAUAUGGAUAGAGUCUCGCUUCGGGGCGGGGGAAGCAGCAAGCGUAGGCUAAAAAGAGGUGGGUCGGUUUAGUCAUCAGCUCAAGAGGACAGGGGAGAGAUAGGAGACAAAAAGAGGCAAAGUGAGGCCCGCCCAAGCAAGUGGUUUGUUUUUGAGAGAGAAGUGUUUUCUUUGGAAAAGAAGAGCUCUUUCUAAGUUGACUUGCUCUGUUCGUCCGCUGUCAGAUCAAAACGGGUAGGGAUCGGCCCAGCCUAGAACAACUCGCUUCUCAUAAAAACGAAUCCCUUUGUGCCUGGAAGAAAUGCAAAGGGGAAUGCUGGGUCAGAGCCAAAGAAUGUGAACUAUACAAGUUCACAAUACCCUUUGAUGAAAUGAAAGAAAGGGUUCCGGUGUAUAGAGAGGGCCUGCGGACGGCUGUCCGAAGUGCAUGCAAUGACGGGCUCGGAUAGGAUAGGGUUGUGCGUGCCGGGCCCUUCGGGUGUCCAUAUUUUGGCCGACCCAUCCUAGUCUUUUGCGACACAGCUGGUUUACUUAUUUUGUUAGGUCUCGACUUCUCCGCUAUGAUCUCCCCAGUAGUUCAUAUAGGAGCUAUUGCCGUUUCAUUCCUAAGCAAGCUGGAGCACCUUUCACUCUCGGGCAUAAAGGCUUUUAUCCAAUUCAUUCACAGGAAGGGUAGAAGGAGCUUCAAAGCUUUUAGCCGGCGUUGGAGCUCAGACGGUGCAGUUAGUAUUGACCACUACCGCCAAGUCCAUAAUUAAAAAAUUGAUGAAGUCCACAUAAUGGAGCUCAAAAGCCGAUUAAAAAAUCUACUUUUUGAGCAUCUUGAAACCGCACAUAAAAAAUAUUAUGAAUGAAUCACCUUACAAUAACAUACGAGAGACAGCUUUCGAUUUUUUCGAACAACAAGUCGAACCCAAUGAACAAUUCCAUUCAAAGGAAUGUUCUAGAGGGGGCCCUUUUCCGCUAUAUUCGCGAUAUUGAACAAAAUGGAAGAAAUUCUUCACGAUUUCUAGAGUUCCGGGAUUACUUCACGGAAGAUCGGGUUAAAAAAUUCUAAAGCUUUCGUCUCAAUUCAUAUUUAGCCGCGAGCAAUCUACGUUUGUGAUCUCGUAUAUUUCGCUUCUCCGACAUCUUACUUAGUUUCCCCCUCAUCUUUUAGCAAAAAGCCGCUCCACAGUAGUAAAGUCUCAUCUUUUGAAUUGGCCGAAGUGACAAUAGUCACAUUGAACCCUCGAAUAUGCUCGAAGAUCUCGAAAUGAUCUUCCAGUUCCGGGGAGAAUUCGCAAAACUCCGUUUCCAUAAAGAAUGCUAAAUGACAAUCUGAACCUACUUGCUUACAGGAUCUUUAAGAAAACUGUGGACUUUUGCACCUUUCUGUCUAGCUUGAGUUAUCUUUUAGUUCUCUCCCCUCGGCAAAGUGGAUAGGAAAGAGUCUUGCAGGUUGAUCAACAAGUAAAUCCUCCCGGAUAUGAAAAGACAAGAUCAAUAUGUCAGCUAGCUUACUAAUACGGCAGCUGCUUAAACUCAUGCUGUACCUACAUAUCUCAUUUGGCUAUCCUUACCUAUUGGCUAUCCCAGGUGACCUUACACCUAAUGGACUAAUGCCAAGCUUGAAACUCCUAUGUAGAGGGAGCUAUCUCGCCUAUGUUUACGUUGCAAUGCUACUCCUCUGUUCUGUUUCUAGUGCGGUUAUGUGUAUUACAAGUUUUAAUAAGAGCGCACUACUCAUCCCAUGGGAGAUGGAGCCAUAGAGAAAUCCAAUCGUCAAAAUCAAUAAAAAGGCCAUCAUGGACCAAGAUCCAAACAGAUCAAUCUUGUUAGGAGGUACUGCCCAAGGAAAAAAAAAGGUGACGUUAUGGUAUUGACUACGAAGAGACUUUCAGUCCUGUAGUCAAGGCGGCCACAAUUAGACUAAUAUUGUCACUAGCAGUCGAUGACAUAGAUAGAGCCUCCUUCUUUGAUCCAUUCAUUGAUAACAAUCAAUAAACAUCUUCAACCAAUCCAAUACAAAUACUGAAAAAGAAGCAGUCUACCAACUUUUCUUUCACAAGGCCGCAGGCGCAAGGGAUGAGCGUGAAAUCCGUUGCUUGUUCUUUCGGUAGCCUUCUUUCAUUUCCGAAUUAGCUUGCGAGCAGUCCUUGCAUUAGUAUGAGUUCGUUGACCGCAUAAGGGCGAACAAAACGGAAUGUACCGGAUUUUUAGCACGUACAACCAUCAAACCAGAGACCAAAGCAGGGCUCGACAAAACUGAAAGUAUCAUGGUACGUCGUCCUCCCUUGAAAUGGAACUUGAAUGCUGGAGCAAGAAGACGCAUUCAAGUCGAUCUUAUUGCAUCACCCACACCUAAUUACAACAGUUGAAUGCUGUAUUUGCAUUUUGAUAUUGUACAUAGCUAUUUACUUCUAUUAUAAAUGUACCCUUGGUCGGAACUAGUUUUUUCGCUUUUUUAGCCGAUUUUUUACCUUUUUUGGACCCAUUCUAUAAAUGGAUGGAAGAAAUUAAACCAAUUCUUUCCCGCCAUAGGCGAAAAGUACUAAUUUUUAAUUCGCCUAAGGAAUUGGCAUUUUUCCGGGUUGUUUUAAAAAACAUUUGUUCCAGCCAUAGCGAAAAGUACUGAAAAUUCACUUUCCCUCGUAAAAAGGAAAAAACUGGGUGCAGAAAAAGGAAACUUUCUGUCCAGUCUGUGGCAAAAGUAAUACUUUUUCCAUUUUCCUUCGCGAUCGACCUUUCGGAUUUUAUAAACUAAGGAACCUGGUGAAAAAAGCAACCCUAUUAUUCCUGAGCAAAAGAAAGCUUACUACAGCACGGUCUUACGUCCAGGAUUGGAACAUUCCAUCUCUUCUUGUCCACUGGUAUAGAAAGAAUAUGCAUUUUCUUGACUGCUUAUUCAACGCCCUGCCGACUUGGAUACUGCUGGCUCUCUUGCAUUACGUGAUAGAAAUGAAAUGACAGAAGAACAAAGCAAGGGCUUUCAAUGCGCGAAAUCCGUUUCGAGUUAGAGUGCGAAACUUCUUGCUGCAGCCGUUUUAUUCGCUGCCAAUUGCACAUCAGGAGAAGAUGUCACUACAGAUCCUGCAACCUCAAGAGGGAGCAGCCUGUCCGUCCUAUUUAAAAGACUUUGGAUUUUUUUCUCCGGGGAUCGAGGUCUCAUUAGCCGAAGAAGACCCAGGCCAAUCCACGUGGCCUCUUUGACCAACGUCAGCGACAGAGACAUAGUAAAUUGGUCCGCGGGCAUCGCGAUAAGUCCUCUGUCCUACUACAGGUGCUGCGACAACCUUUACCAAGUCCAAACGAUUGUCAACUACCAGAUCCGCUGGUCCGCUAUAUUCACCCUAGCCAGCUAUCUCCUUUAUGAGUUUCUUCCUUUCUGAAAGUCACCACAGUGGAGAGUUACUAUCGACUUUCUCCAUGUGCCACUCGCCAGGGUUGAGUUGAGGGGGCAGCCCGUGCGCUAAUUGGGCUUCGAGGUUGGCUAUACGCGAAAAAAGCUCGCUUUCUACUGAGCUGUCCUAAACUGUUCCAGAAUGUUAUUUGUUUCAUAGGAAGAUUCCAAAAGCACAUUGUGAUGCCGAAAGAAUCUUCGUCGCCCUCAUUCCGUAGUUGAGUUCUUUCGCAUUUCUCGUAUAGUUUUUCGUGGAUUAGCAUCUCGAGGUUCUUUGAUGGGCAUAAAGAAAUUGUCUUGCUAGCAACCACCAAACCAAUAGAACAAAGGUUAGCUCUGCAGCUAGUCCACAUCUAUUUGUGCAUUCAAUGCUGCCAUUCCCCCGGCCCCAAAGGACAAGAUUGAGUCGCCGCUAUCACUUUUUUUGGGGGGCCAAUCCCGCGAAGAGUUAUGGAAAGAUUUUAUAGCUCGUCACAAGAAAGGAUUGAUGGUCGAGUCCCCGUGCAUGAAGUCAGUGGAUUCGAGUGAACUGACCGUACUACAAAUCGACAUACUUGAGGAAGCUUCUUACUAAACCAAAGAAAGGGCAGCUCCAGUUGUAUUGUCGAUUCCCUUCUCCCGAGAGCUUUCACACUCUGGGAUGGGAGUCCCUUCCAAGACUUGACCAAAAGCUUAUCUCUUGAAUCUAAAUUUAACAUUUUCCAAAACGCGGCUAGACCGAGGCAGAGCAAGAAUCGAGUUCCGUUAAAGGCCUAUGGUUUAACACCAUGCCUUUCCACUUUUCCGAAGUGGUAUGCUUAACCGCAUCCAGUUCUCUAUUUUCGUUUAUAGUUUAUCUGUGUUCAGUCAAAUCUGCGAACUCGACUAGAUAUUCUGCACAGGCCCUGGUGGGUUCUCCAUAGCGGAAGCAACCUCUGGGCCUUCCACAAAAAAAAACGAAAACAAACCAGAGAAGGAUCCAAUUAGAGUAGAGGAAAAAGCCUCCCUCCUCCUUCUGACAAUAUAAAGUCCCAAAAAAAUGAGGGAAAUAAAAAUAAAAAUAAGGUAAGGUCUAUCGGUCCACAAACUGCAGCCCAGGACGGGCGUCGUCAUCUAGGCGUGACUUCUUGUUUUGAUCUCCCCUACGCCUAGGACGUAGUCUGGGCCAAGAGCCAUAGUUAGUUGCUGUUUCCAUUUGGUUCUUCUUUCUCGUUGUUGAUACCGGCAAGACCCGAAUAGAAGAAGAGCAGUCGUCAAUUGAUUGAAAGUGGAUUGACGGCAUUCAUCAGUUGAUUGAAAAUGGACUUUUCUUUUAUGAUCGAGCGAGGUCCGUUUUUGGGCUUAAAAGUCCUUGUAAGCUUAUGCCUCAUCAUGGUUGGGAAGGUUAUAGUAGCUUCAGUCAUUGGAAUUACUCUAUUUCUAUAUAUAGGCCUUAUCCUUUUUGUUAUUGCGUUAUGGUAGAGGGAAAGAGAAAAGAAAGAAGAGAAAUUGGGCCAUGUUUCCCGAGAGAGACUGCCUUCUCUCAGGCCAGCAGUCUUAUACUUAUAGUCGACUGCUCUAUGACGAUCUGACCUCUUUCCUGGGCUCUGCUCGCUCGUCUACGCUCCUACCAAUUCAAGAGCAAUUCAAAUGCUUUGAUUGCUUAUCAGAUAAGAGGUAAAAAUAUUCUUCAUUCAUUUAUUUUUUUAAUGCCAAAUUUCAUUCAAAUCCAUUCUUAAAAAGGCAUAGUAGAGAAAGGCGGACCAGGCAAUCUCUGAGUUGAAAUCGAUCCCAGACAUCCAUCUCUUUCAAAAAGUUCUAAAGGCCGACUACUACAGGGUGCGUGCGCUGGGACUGAUCGGGACGACCUUGUCGGUCCUCACAUUCACGGAAUGAAGUCAACCUUAGAAAGUAGCCGAUCGGGACGAUCAUGCGUCUCAAGAGGAGAAGCAUGGACUGUUGCUAGCGCUCAUAAAUAUCCUUAUGACCCCUGAAGAUGGAGUUGUUUAGUGAAAAAAGGCCCAGCAGAGAGAACAGUCAAGAUAACUAGCGCGGAGUCCGCUUGGCAGGCGGCAGGAGCUGCGGGCAAGUGCUUGCUUGGUAGGCCAACAGCCCUGUGAACCGGGCGGGGCACCUCCGGUUAUAGAUGCCCUAACAAAACUUCAUAAGAAGAUAUCGCGAGAAAUAGUUGAGGAUCGAACUCUAUCUCAAAAGAGAAAUCGAUGUUUUACUACCAGUCACAAGCUUUAUGUUCGGCACAGUACUCAUACUGGAACUUACGAGCAAGAAUUGCGGAUAAGGGAAAGCCCGCUAUAUUAUAUAUAGUAAUCACCUGCCAAAAGGAAAGCCUGACCGAUAAUAAUAAUAGGUCUAUGCGCCGAACAAGCAAUGGUAUAUUAGAGAUAGUAAGGAGUUGUAUACACGGGGGUAUGCAUUCAUGUCACGCUUUCUGUGUGAUAAGAGGUUGCUAGCUAGCAAGUAUAGAAACAGGAGAUAUGCGUAGUUAACAGAAGCAAGGGAAUAUGCGUGAGUUGAUUUGAUAGUUUUUUUGAGAAAAAGCAAUUUCAUGAAGUUGGCCUUAGGUGUAAUAGGACUCCCAGUUACUGCGCGCGAUCGUAUACUGAGGUGCUCCCCGUCGGUUGUUGGAACGACGCGAGCCCCAAAAUAAUGUGACUUGGUCCCAAGGUAGAAAGUGAAGAACACUGAACAGAGCUGAAGCUGCAUGAUUAUGAAAUCCCCCAGGGCGCUUCUGAAGCCUCUUUCUAGUCCAAUCCCCCCACAUCGCGUAUAAAGGGAAUCGAACCCAACUCUUCCACUUGCCGCCAAUGCGGAAGGAUGCCACCAAAAAGAAAGGAGACUGAUCUUAACGUUGGCGUCGGUUUUUCCAAGAAAAGUUAGAUUUGAUUUGUCUUUUUCAUGCGGAACAGAACCGUAUUAGUAAGCGGGCCAGUUAACAGAAGCAAGGGAAUAUGCGUGAGUUGAUUUGAUAGUUUUUUUGAGAAAAAGCAAUUUCAUCUCAAGGGAAAGAUCAGAGGAGGAGAAGAAUGAAGGUGUGGGCGGGAAGGAGGAGGCAAGGCCCCCUCAAUGUUUAUUCGACUACUCAUUACGGAACCACCGAUUGAUCCGAUUAGACUUUCCGUGGUAUGUUGAGUUCUUGAAGCAUUGCCGAUAUCGAUAUAUAUUUCUUUGCAUGGGACAGUAGCCUUUUCUGCGGCGGAACAAGCUAAGAAGUGCAGGCGGCUCUUAUUUGAUAAGAUAAGGCAGAUGGUAUGAUCAAAUUCACUCUUGCGCUUUUUUUUGUAUUGAACGCAUGGCGUAGCUAGGACCCCUCCAAUCAUGUUUGAGCCUAUGUUCACCCGGGGUCCAAAAAGGAGAAUUCCGGAAUGCCUGCCGACGUUCAGAUAAAGUGCAUAUCCCUUACUACUAAAGGAAAGGCUCGACGAAGGGGGGGGAUUUUCCGGGUAAGGAAAAUGCUUUCGGAGAUUGAGAUGUCGAUUUGUUUUUCAUCGAAAAGGAAGAAGGCCGAGGGGAUAGCUGCCUUCCUUCGGGCUUUGCCUGCCGACAUUCUAAUAAAGAAUUCCGGCUCGGCCCGGGAAAGCGCUGGCAACAACAUAAAGAAAGGGGUCCAUGUAGCUGCUGCGCCCGCCCACUGAGCAGCAGGUUCGGCAUCUACUACAAAAGAGAGAAUCCACUUCAGAUAACCACGCCUCUGCUAGGCAGCGUGUGGAAUGGCCGGGAGCGGACCAAAUGGAUAUAUAAUCCAAGCCGAGAGUGGAGUUACGUGAACAGCCGUCUGAUGGAAAACAACUUUCGACUAGGAAAAUGAAGACAAAGGAAUUUGGAAUUACAAGACGGAUAUCAGCUUGCUACUUCUGACUUUGACUUUCAAUAGGGAGGUCAAAAACUAGCACUUUUUUCGAGGAGUGAUCAUGGUUGAUGUCUACUUGCCGGGCUGCCCACCUAAACCGGAGGCGGUUAUAGAUGCCCUAACAAAACUUCAUAAGAAGAUAUCGCGAGAAAUAGUUGAGGAUCGAACUCUAUCUCAAAAGAGAAAUCGAUGUUUUACUACUAGUCACAAGCUUUAUGUUCGGCGCAGUACUCAUACUGGAACUUACGAGCAAGAAUUGCUCUAUCAAUCACCAUCUACUUUAGACAUAUCUUCUUCAACUUUUUGAAAAUCCAAAAGUCCAGUAUCUUCCUACAAAUUAGUGAAUUUGCAGCAUUCUGAAUUCAUAAUUCGAACUGAUCAGCACAGUCUCGUGCAUUUAGAAGAUCAACGACUACACCUUGGCAGCAGAAGGCCUUCACUAAGUUUCUUGGACUUCAAUACCGACGCAAGGGAGCCAAGAAUGGAGCAGCUGAUGCUUUGUCCCGACGCAGCCAUAGAGUCGAUCUUGCAGAUAGGCGGAGGUAUGAUUGCUUGCUCCUUGCAUGUGAAGGUGGGAAACAAGGAAACAGCAGAAAUGCUUACUGGGACAUAGCCUUCGGUACGAGUUGAAGGGAAGAGGAUUGCUUGGAACCUCUAAGACAUGGCACCCCUGCCCCUUCCCGGCUACUGGAUCACUCCAGUGCUUCGGGUACUACGGACCCUCUGCCAUCCAUUGCAGCAGAGCCGUUUCAUGAGCGGGGGGGCUAAGCGCAGUUCUUUGAAUCAAAGGUUUUAUGAAAUCGAAAUUGAUUCUUUUUUAGAUAUCUGGAUAGAUGGAUGGGGCCUGGGAGUGAAUGUGGAAGCUUAACACUAGCAACGGGCAGAACAGUUGGUAAAGGAGAUCAUUGGCACUAUGGCGCAUGUAUGUUGAGUUCUUGAAGCAUUGCCGAUAUCGAUAUAUAUUUCUUUGCAUGGGACAGUAGCCUUUUCUGCGGCGGAUCGUUUCCUUUUCUCCAAUCAUAAAUAACCUGAUCUCUUUCUUUGUCUUUCAUCAAAUAAGUACAAGAAUUGCAUAGAUGAGGAUUCGGUAUUGAUCGCUAAAAUGCGAGAAAAAGACCCACGUUUCUCUGUUCGUCCGCUAUCAGAUCAAAACGGGUAGAAGCAGCUUGUUCUUUCGCGCUAGUGCGCUCAAUCCGUUGCUUGUUCCUUUCCUUUGGAUUUAUUAUCAUAAUAGCGUAGACAAAAGGUAGGACCAGAUCAUGCGAAGAACUCUUCGCCCUAUUGAUUAGGAAUCUCGAUUAGAAACCACCAGGCCAUGUCUCCCGAUAAAAGAUGAUCCCCACAAUGGAUGUCAGGCCUUGGCUUCAUAAAAUCUGAUUGGAUCCGCACUAGAGGAUAAGAAUACAGAUAGGCUGACUUAGAAGAUCUUAAAAUUGGCGUAGACAAAAGGUAGGACCAGAUCAUGCGAAGAACUCUUCGCCCUAUUGAUUAGGAAUCUCGAUCAGAAACCACCAGCCUCGAAUGGAGCAUUACGAGUGCAUGAUUGAGUUGUUUAGUAAGCAUGGUUGAUUUUUAAUCAUUUUUUUCCACCUUAAGGGCCCCAGAAACUUCUAGUUAUUCUCCAGUAGGAAAGGUUCUAGUGACAUUGCUGCUAUUGCUGGAAGUCCCGCAGCUUACUGCUCACGGAAACAUCCGACCUUAUGGUCAAGUCGUCCGCCUAUCUUUCUGAUCUCAUUCGUUUGUAGAUCGCAUAAAAAGCUCUUCGUUGUCUGAGAGGGCAGAAGGCAUCAGACUUGUAGUCUAAAUGCUGUGUAUCUGACAUACUUCAUUCUCUGUGCAGGGUACGAUUUCACUAUGGACAUCCUGAUGUGUUCGACAGGAUUUUUAUCUGGUGACUCCCUUCCCCCUUUUUUCCCAGAAUGAAUUCGCCCGACGCGACGAAUCCUGCCCUCCUGUCUUUCUUUCUCAUUGGCCCCGCUGCCGCUACUGCUCGAAAGCAUGACAGCUCCGCUUCCUCGUCUUGCUUCUACUUUGCUUGUUUGCGCGAAGGCUUAGAGUCCUUUUCGCUAGGUCCAAAUUCGUCAAAGUCGCCACGACGACUCUCCGUCGUGGAAUUAGACCAAGGGUCGAAGACCUAUACCAUAGGACCCCGUCCGAUUUCAGAGCCCACUUUAUUAAAAACUUCGAUUUGAAGCCGAGAACCCACCUAAAAACAAUCAUUUGACUAAAAAAUUCGUUGGAUAGGUGCAUCACGAAAUCGGUACUCAAUCCCUUGCUUGUUCGUGGGAUGGGAGUAUCUCCUAUUAGCGAUGCUCAGAUUUCAAUGGAAGGAAGAUAGUUAUUCCAAUCACUUUUCUCGAUAGGCAGGGCGGGACUCAAGAAACCUGCGUACGGCAGGGCUAGGUUACCAGCGUACGGGCAAGAGAAAUUUUAUCUUCUCGUCAGGUCAUUAGAGGCUCCUCUGGAGGCCAUACAAGAAGGAUCCUUAAUUCAUUGCAAGGCAUUCUCCAAUCCCCAUUCACACUCUCCUUAUUCAUACAUCAGUUCAGCUACAACAAAGAAGAUAUCCUCCCAUUGGUUAGUUGGCUCCCUGUAUGGUUGGUACCUGCUUUCCCGUAAGUCUGUACGGAGAAUCAAUAAAGGCAUCCGCAGUGGAAUCAAACUCAUAAGGGACAGGAUCACCACCAUUCGGUAGACCAAACACCCUAUGAACACUGCCGGCAUGAGAUAUGAGUCGUUAGAGCACAUAUCUCCGUGAUCCCUUCCACAGCUAAACGUAGAUCUCUAUCUUGUAGUGGAGUGUAGAGUAAAGAUAUACCGGAGCGGAGUGCAAGAAGGUUAUAGGGGAGUGUGGCGCCCGCUUGCCCGCCUUUCGUCUCGGUUGAAAAACAAAACCGUUGCUUGCUUUGUGGCCCUAUCGCUUAAGGUUCCUUUUGAGUACGAUCAUAUUAGUGAGAUGAGGCAUAUCUAGAUCCAUCUGAAUCGAACACCCAAACUCAUACCUAGAUUAUAGGAGAGAUCGACAUCUAUAUCAGGGUACACCCAUCUUUCCAAUCAAUUAAAGAAUCGGUGGGUACUAGACUAGAGCCAGGAAUCGAAAGAGAAAUAAAUCGGGAACUUCAGUACUGCAGGCUGAGGACAGUGGUUAAAGAGAGUCAGGGAAUUAUUGGUAGCAUCAAGUUUUUUCUUCUAAUUUCUACUAUUUCUUCCAGGAUCAAAAAUAUUUUACUUGGUUGAGCUUUGUCAACAGAUUGGCAGUGAAAUAGAAACUUUUCUAUGGUGAAAUAUUAGAGAAUAACUAUAUAAAAUAAAAAAUAUCUCUUUGAGAUUUCCCCGCUGGCGCUCGCUCAAUCCGUUCACCAGGGUUCCUUUCCUUUCCUUUACGGUCGAGCUACUUCUCGUUCAUCAUCAAGUGGUUUCAAUUAUAAGAAUAAUUAUACUAGUGAACUAACAAUUUGGCUUUUCAAAGUUCGUUUAAGAAAAUGCAAUGAAAUGUUUAGCAUCUAGUUUAGUGGGUGCUUGCCUAUGGUUCCAUUUAUUAAUUAAUCAAACCAUUUCCUUUUCAUGCCAUCCAUCGAAUUUAAACUUUAUCGUUAUCAUUGGCUGGAAUGAGAAUAGCUGCAGGAUCCAGAUCACCAUUUGUUGUAUCAUAGUUGGAAUGGCUAAAAUAAGACAUUCUUGAAGAGCUAUAUAUUAUUUUUGCUGAUCAAUGAUGAGCACAAUAUCAGGUAACCCUUUUGGAAUGAAAAACUAUGACUUCGUAGUUUUCGUUAGUAGAAACCUAAUUCAUUAAAAUUCCGUCCAGUAAAACGGAAGAAUUAUAAAUUUCUAAAAUAAUAGAUAGGAAUACCGCGAAUAAAGCCAUUGCGACCCCCAUAAAAGGAGUAGUCCCCCAACCCGGAGCUACUUUCCCAUAUUCCGAAUUAAUUGAUCAUAACGAUAUCGUGGAAAUGCUGCACGGACCCAUAUAUAUAGAAACAGAAAAAGAAGAACCUUGAUACUAAACCAGAUCGAACAAGGGAUCUUCUUGGAAAUGGGAAGAUCUAGGAUAGGCGGCCAACCUCCUAGAAAGAGCGAUGUGCAUAGACCGGGUGAGUAGGGAUGCAGCUCCGUGGACCGCUCGUCGGGCCUGAUAGGUGGUGGUAUCACACCCUUCUCCAAGGAACCGUACGUGAGACUCUCGCCUCAUACGGCUGCGUCCUGGAAUCUGGACAGUUUUGUCUUUUGUGCCGAAGCUAUUUAUAAAGCACAGGCCGAAACCGGUGAAAUUAAGGGGCAUUACUUGAAUGCGACUGCAGGUACAUGCGAAGAAAUGAUUAAGAGAGCUGUAUUUGCGAGGGAAUUAGGGGUUCCUAUUGUAAUGCAUGACUACUUAACCGGGGGAUUCACCGCAAAUACUAGUUUGGCUCAUUAUUGCCGCGACAACGGCCUACUUCUUCACAUUCACCGAGCAAUGCAUGCAGUUAUUGAUAGACAGAAUAAUCAUGGUAUGCAUUUCCGUGUAUUAGCUAAAGCAUUGCGUAUGUCUGGGGGAGAUCAUAUCCACGCUGGUACAGUAGUAGGUAAGUUAGAAGGGGAACGCGAAAUGACUUUAGGUUUUGUUGAUUUAUUGCGCGAUGAUUUUAUUGAAAAGAUCGUGCUCGCGGUAUCUUUUUCACUCAGGACUGGGUAUCCAUGCCACGAAGCAGCUUCUCUAAUAACCCCGUUGAAUAGGAGGGCGAAGGCUUUUUCGAACUUAUUUAUAGAGGGGGGCUUCGACCUUCUUAGGAAGAGCCGUACGAGGCUGCUCACAUACGGUUCGGGAGCCGAGCCACGAGUCCAAUUUGAAGUUGUUGAUGUUUAUAUUGGUCAAUCAUAAAAUAGAAAUAAGAAAAGAAUUUAUAUUUAUUCUGAUCAAACUUCUUCCCUAUUAACCUGGAAGUUCUUCUGAGAUACAAGGAAAUGGUUCGUUUUUUUGCUUUUUAGCAGUAAUCAGAAAGUUAGCUCUUUUUCCAGACCAGUGGCCUUGGAGUUCAUCCCCGUCCUCUGCCAGGUGAGAAGGAAGAUGAGAGAUAUGUUCCUUAGAAGUCGUCUUCAACUUUCUUCCAGGAAAGCCUUUCACCGAGUGAGCAGCAGUAAGAAAGGGUUUAGCUAAUGGAGAAAUUGACUCUUCCGAGAACCAGUAACGCGUAAACCAUGUCAAACCAAGACCGAUCAAUAUCCGAACGGAACGGAUAUACCAGUAGUAGAGUGGCUUGAAUCAAAUCGUUUGUCUAGAGGGAGUGUAGCGAUAACCAAAGCUGACUGUACUAGAAACUUUAGAUCCUGUCCGCUCAUAGCACGAUGGAAUUGCGCAAUUGUAGCCCGACGCGCUGCUUCAAUGGCUCGAUAUGAAAGACGACCAGCUCUACAACUUUUGGCCGGCAAAGAAAACCAACACUUAAGACGCUAUUGGAGACUAGCGUAGCUAUUAUUCGAAGCUUAUUAAUUUCUUUACUGCGUUCAAGGCAUGACCGCGUGAUAGGUGUCCUUUUCCCCCUACUCAAGAAGAGUUACAUCUAAGUUCCGAUCGUAAUAUGACAAACAAAUCUUACUUUUUCUUUCCCAAGCUGGCGCGGCUCGGCAAAAGUUGGUUCACUGACCAAAGACGACUUCUUUGUUCUUCAGUAGUUUCCUCCUUGACUAAGCACAUGCUUAAAGAUUUAAGUUCUAAAUAAUUCUAGGUAGCAUAUAAGAACGAGACCUAAGCUAUAAGCCCUAUAAAAGACUGUGCUGAUCGCGCAACUGAUCAUAUCCAGCGACCAAGCAGAUCAACUAGAAGGUCAUAUGUCCACCCGCCCUUUCCUUUGAGAAAUCCUAUUCCUAUCGAUUUAGCUGCAUAGGCAAUACGACAUUACUAUGAAUAAAUGACGAGCGAAUGGUGGCAGUACCAAAUGCCGAAUUAGCGGCUGUACCAAAUGAUCAAUGCCUCUGGGGUUUCCCUUCUCUUCAGCCCUUUUGCUCUUCUAACAACAAUGGUGAACGGCCAUUUGUCAAGGCCCCGGAAUCCGCUGGACAUCCCAGCGGCGGGAUUCGAUACCCGCAUCAGAUCGAAGUGCGGGCUCACUGAAAACCAAACUGUUCGUAUUUCUUUAAAACGCUGCUGCCCUAGCCGGGGGUCUGUCUAUAGAAGAAGGGAAUCCAGAGGAAGAAGCAGCUCCCCGAAGGGUUACCGAAAACUUUGUGAAAAUACUUCUACGAGAAGGUUUUAUUGAAAACGUUCGAAAACCAUAGGGAAAGUAACAAAUCUUUCUUGGCACGUGCCCCUGCUCCUGGUCUUCGAACUAGUCAUUAAUGGUCGGCAACAUAGGUACCCUUUUUCAGUAUGCGUUGCGAACACUUUCAUUUUUAGCGUCUCAUCUUCUCUGGAGAAGCUCAAAUCGGCUUGGGUGCAUCAAAACUUGCAAUACGAAGAUCCCUUUCAGAUCAGCAGGAGGAGCAGGUUGCACCACUGGUUGGGGAGGAAUUCGCGCAGCGGUUUCGAAGACUGAAGCACUUCUUGCAAGUAUCAACAGGUCAGAAUGCCAAAUAAGAGUUUCUUGUGGUCGAAAUCAAAUGGUAACCAGUUUGAGGGGUGAUUGAUCACUAAGCGACAUAUGGCACGAAAAGGAAAUCCAAUUUCGGUAAGACUUGAUCUGAAUCGUAGUUCAGAUCCAAGUCGGUUCAGUGAGGGCGCCCCGACCCAUGUUCAAUCACUGAAGUGUGGUUGAGUGAGAUGAUCCGCAACCAACAAAUGAUUUGUCAUUGUCUCUAAAUCACUGAAUGAAUUCGUUUUUUAUUUAUAUAUGAGAACUAGAGAGUUCACUAGCGCAGAAGGGGAGACCAGAAAAUGCCUUUUGUUUUCCCCCCUUCAGCGGCCCUAGCCGCCUUCGUUAACGAGCCCUCGAGCCUCCUUUGCGCCGCCUUCCUCAUAGAAGCCGUUGGGUUGACCCCGAGGGCCGAAUUCAAUGGUAGAGAAGGCUUUAAUAAGAAUUUGGCCAUGAGGAUAGGCUGGCCCUUACGUAAGGACUAUAUAACACCCAAUUUCUAUGAAAUACAAGAUGCUCAUUGAAUGAUAAGAAAUUCAUGCUCACUUAUACAACACAACUCCUGAUUUUAUUCAAGUCAUUUUUUGAGCAACUAACGCGAAAGCCGUUGCGCGUUAGCGCAUUCGGAACCACACAUUUUUAUACGAUUUUCGGAUCAUUUGAUUUUCAUUUUGAAAACUUUAAAACCUUAUCAGAGAGGGGCCACUAAGGCUGGAUGUUGGCUUCAAGAAAUCUCCUUUAGCAGAUCUCUAGACAGAUGGAUCUUAUAUGAAUCGUAUGAUGAAGUACCACAUGAGUGGAUAUAUAGGAAAGGAAUCCAAAUCUGCCGAAUCGCUCAUGUUAUGAUCUUCUACAUCCAAGGUCUCCGCGUAUCUAUAGCACUAUUCCUCAAUCCACCCGAAGUUAGAGCUAGGCUCAUCGGGCUCGCUUCUCAAUACAAUGCCUUUACCACUGAUUGUUAAUAGAGGCUUCUCAGAAGAAGAACAACAAAAAGUUGUUUCGAAAAAUUCAAGUACCGGCCACACUUCAGUAUCCAUAGAUAUAGAUAGGGCGGAGGCCUUACUACACGAGCUCGUAAGUCAAGCACGGAACGAGCCUUGUCUACGAAGCUUCGCUUCAUCAUCUUGCUUGCUUCUGGCGAAGCUUAACGCACUAUAGUCAGUGAUCUUUUCCAAGGUGUCUAGAGAAACCUGCUUUGAAAAUGUCAUUCGUACCCAAGGAAAGUUUUGGCAGGCAUUACUGUGAUCUUGAAGCCCUUGCUAGGAGCUAGUCGGUACGGCUCACUACUAAAGAAGGUUCUGGCAUGCUUCGAACCGUCUACUUUUCCUUAUCCUUAUGGGAAUUUAAGAGAGAGAUCACUCCACUGAGUAACCGAGAGAGAAGAUUCAGGCAAGUAUGCCGUGCCCUAUUUAAAAUAGAGGCAACGAACGGAGCGUCCCAUCGACUUUACUUUGGCCAAUGAGACUACUAUACGCGUUUUCCGAGGAGCAACAUGAUACUUUCUUUUCCGAGACAACAGAGUUUAGAAAGAUGGAAGCAAAUCAAAGCUAAGGGAAUCUUACUCGACCGAGAGGAAGCGAAGCGCAGACUGGAAAGCAGGAGUUCAGUGAAGUAUGCCUUAGCUAGUUCAAAUACAAAUCUCCCUUUUCUUCAUUUUUGCAUUUCUUAUUCCGCUAUUCCGAAUAUCGCAAAAAUAAAUUAGACAAUAAAUAGAGAAAAGUGCUCACCCCUCCUUUCUCAGUGAGAAGAAUAUUCCCACAUAUACAUGCGGAAGUCGGUCGAGAGCACAGAGCCGGCAGGAGUACUUUGCAAGUGCACCAAUGCCAAAGCUGGACCUUCCUGUUUUUGCUGGUAGCAACCCAGGUGUACCAGGUUUGGGUCAUCGAUAUGGAAGCAGCUAGCUCACUUUCGUUAAAAGCAAAGAUGAUUAUCCACCGUUAGUUAGUAAUGUGGGUUGGCUUGGAUUACUUAGUGUUGCGCGCCUAGGAGGGCAGCGCGCUUGGGGUGCGGAGGAGCUAUUAUCGCCCAGCUCCCUAACCUAAUGCGGCGCGGAUAAUGGUUUGGUAUGUAAGUACUAUAGUUUGGUAGGUUUGAAUUGUGUGGCCAGGGGUAUUGGUUACGAUUCCAGUGGUCUUCAGGCGAGUUGACAAAACUACCCCUAUGCGCAAAAAAUGAAGCUGAUGUGGUUGUUUUGAAUCCAAGAGUGGUGAGUCCAAUCUGUAACUCCAAUUUCCAAUACUGAAAAGCCAAGCCUACUAUUCUUUUUACCGGCGCUUCACGACUUACCACAAAACUAGAGCCGGCGGCAUAAGAUGAAGCCCUAGACAUUCUGCCUGUCUGCUUAGACUCUUUCUAAGUAAGAGAGAGCUCGUUCUAGCUUUGUCAAUCGUGGAAUGAGCAGCUCCAUCCUUACUGUCCUGGUGAAUUAAUUGGGUAAUUAAUGAGCACACUGACUCGGACGGAUUUCAAAUUCCUUUUUCCUUCCUUUUUACGCCACCUCCACCCAAUCCUUGAAGAUAUGAAGCAAUCUUUUAUUAAGACUAAGUGAAGGUUGGUAUGGCCCAAUCCGGAAUCUCGAUCAGAAACCACCAGGCCAUGUCUCCCGAUAAAAGAUGAUCCCCACAAUGGAUGUCAGGCCUUGGCUUCAUAAAAUCUGAUUGGAUCCGCACUAGAGGAUAAGAAUAUAGAUAGGCUGACUAAGAAGAUCUUAAAAUUGUCUUACCUGAAAAGAUGAGUUAUUCAAAGGAAUACCUGAAGAAUAGAAUAAACACAUGGCACAGCGGGCGGGGGACUUGAAAUCCUCUUUAGCUUUGCGCGUUGGACUCUAAAUCCUAACAGAGUGGUUCGAUUCCACCUCAGAACGACCUUCACGAAAGUGAAAAAUCUUCGUCCUACCAAAACUGGAUCUUGAAAAGUGUUCAGUGCCCAACAAGCAACGGGUUGAGCGCACUAGCGCGAAAGCGUUAGCACGCGCAUCCGUUUUCUUGCUUGCCUUGCGAAUUUGCAAAGGACUAACGAGAUUGUUUCUAUCGCCAAGAUGAGCCGCUUCGGGCUCAGGAGACUAUGGUGGUCUAUGAUCUAAUAACUGGUGGUGAGACUGCGGCUCAAGUCCACGUCGUGAGAAAGACUGAGCUAUUCUGUACUUUUCUAACCCUUUGAAGGAUGAAGAUGGCGAAGGAGUAUUGAAAAGAAUGAAUCCGGGUUUUAGCGCUCCUUGAAUCUGGCCUAUACGUAGUGUAAGCCGCCUGCGGCUGCUAAAGGCAAGGUAUGAGGGUGAAAGUAAGCGAAGCCGAAGAUGUGUAUGGUGAGUCGAUACUAAAGCAAUCCCGGAAUUUUUCAUUGGAUGGCAGUAAAGAGUCUCCUUCCCGAACCUGAUAUGCGAACAAACAGGGUUAGCGGAAACAGGAAAUGUAGUAAUUCGAGUAAGUCCAACCUUCAAGGAAGAAGGAAGGCAAUCCGUCGCUUGUUCGUUGCAAGUUCUUAUUGCUCCGGAUCCCCGUUUACUAGGAAGAUAAGAAUCAAAAGGAUCGAACUACCUACUCAUUAUUCGGAGAUGAAUCAUAGAACACUAAUCCUGCUUUUAGUACAUUGCUUUUCGUAUCAUCUAUGAGAAUUCUCGUUUCAGAAACUCCUCAAUAUUGUCGUUAUGGCAAUUCUAACCAUGUAGAUUUUAUUACCAAAUUGUAGUUUUUUCUUUUGCCAAUUCCACGCCUCUGUAAAAAAAUGCCUAAAAGGGAGGGCGAGAGUUGAAGUGGAUGGCCCUUCUAUCACCUGAAAGGCUGAAACUCAGGCAUGGCUUUACAUGGCACACAUGCUUUCUUUCAGGCUGUUUUGGCUCGCAAUAAAGCUAGGGUCCUGAUCGAGCAAGACUGCCCCUGUCGGUCCCGAUCAGUCCCAUUGACCGUGAAGCCUGCUCUCGAUUUGUAGUCCCCGUGCAUGAAGUCAGUGGAUUCGAGUGAACUGACCGUACUACAAAUCGACAUACUUGAGAAAGCUUCUUACUAAACCAAAGAAAGGGCAGCUCCAGUUGUGUUGUCGAUUCCCUUCUCCCGAGAGCUUUCACACUCUGGGAUGGGAGUCCCUUCCAAGACUUGACCAAAAGCUUAUCUCUUGAAUCCCAGAGAUAAGAGCGACAACCAGGCGUACCUCAUCUUUCCCUAUUGAAGCAAAACCAGUGGUUUCUUGGUCACGACCAGCUAAAACAAAAGUUCCAUUAAAGAGAGUUUCCACGUGGUAGUAAUAGACGACCAUUUCGCGCGGUUCGGGGGCACUUGAAUAAGCCGCCGGCCCCCGGCUGCGUCUUUACCCCUAUCCAAUUUUCCUCCCAAUCGAAUUGUUAAGUAUGUUUUUUCCCUUUCGAGAAAUGGUGGCAGUACCAAAUGCCGAAUUAGCGGCUGUACCAAAUGAUCCUGGAUAGAGUCUCGCUCAUAAAGGAAGAGGAGCGCGCUAGCGCGGCUCGCUUCGCUUUUCGACGCGGAGCUCGCUGCUGUUGAAGCCUGCUUCUGGUUCUGAAUCACAAGCAAGCCUAAUAAGAGUUUCUUUUCAUCUUACAUGAGUUGGCAAGGAGUUGUUCUUGGCAGAUCUCUCCCCUGCUUUAUUGCGAGCCUUGACAGGUUACAUUGGCAGAAAUAUGGAAACUUCUCUUGGCAGGUUAUAUGGAAACUUCUCUUGGCAUAUGACUUCCAUCUUUCUAUGGAUUUUCUGGUUCUGAAUCACAAGAACCUCAUCCCGGCAGCGAGACUGCGUUCACUCGAAACAAAAAUAGACGAGUACUAUGGUAGGAACGCUUCAACUGCAGAGCCCUGAAUGCGUUAGUGAGGUUCCCUCUAUGAGAGAAAGAGAGGUUGGUGAACCGGCGGAUCCGUUUGCAACUCCUCUGGAAAUAUUACCCGAGUGGUACUUCUUUCCCGUGUUUCAAAUACUCCGUACAGUACCUAAUAAGUUAUUGGGCAUUCUCUUAAUGGUUUCUGUGCCGACGGGCUUAUUGACAGUACCUUUUCUAGAGAAUGUCAAUAAAUUCCAAAAUCCGUUUUUCAACUGGCUCUAAUGCAAAUUUAUAAAAUAAAGAAGAGUUCCGUCAAGCGUCGUAUUAGCUUUGUUUGUUCAGAGCUAUGUACCAUGAUCUUCCCUUCCCCCGGCACAAUGUUUGAUGCUUCUUGGGGCUUCUUUGGCGACCGUGAAGUCACCGGAUGAAUUGCCGAGUAGAUAGAUCAGAUCCGGAUGCUGCAGUUGUUCCGCGGUGAUACGGACUCGACCCGCGGACGACAAUAGUCUUUCUCUUUUUUCACUCGAGCCAUACCGAUGCUUUGGACUCCUUGAUGCCAAGGGAGGUUUAUGAGUUGUAUCCUCCUUACGAGAUAGCGGAAGUAGCAUUAGCAGGAAAAGUAAGCUCCUUUUCAAGCCUUCUCUUUCGUAACCUUUGAUUAGUUCCUUGGAUGCCCUUAGCAAGAAUGAUGCAGGAGCAAUACCAAAGUGUUUCAAUGAAGGAUUACCUUGACUUAGGUCUGCCUCCGGCCUAAAUUAAAUCAACCUAAGUUAAAUGGAGUCUCUAUCGUUCUGCUGCAAGAGUGGAAUAUGAGACUUCAUACACCUUAAAGUUUAUAGAACGAAAAGAAUUUUUUUGGAGGUCCUCAUUACGCCUAGCAUUUAGUGGGCUGGAUAUUUACCUUUGAAACUAGCAAAUCAAUAAGGGUUCUAUUUGAUUAGGCACCUGAAUCGGACUGAACCUGGAUCCAAUUUUAAGGACAAAUCCUGAUGUUGGUAAAAUAUACGUGUAGAUCAAGGCCAAGGACAAUGAAGCAGCCCUCCCCUUGUAGCUGGGGUAGACUGGUAGUAGUUUCACCUAUAAAAUUUUGCAUUUGUGGAAUGUAGGUUGGAACUACCUGUUCCGGGAUUGUAGAAAGGAAGGGCUCCACAGUUGAAACUACCUGUUCUGGCAUUUCCGAAAGGAAAGGCAGGACAGCUAAAAAUAAUUCGCUGUCAGCCGCAGUAUAGAUACUUCGAGUUUUGGUAACUCUGGAAGUAGCGCUACAGAUUGAAGUUUUUCUGCACCCGAUUAUCAGUUCUCGUCGACCACCGUGACGUCACCUAGCUUUAUUCUAAAUUUAUCAUUCUAUCGGUAUGUAUAGUGUCUUUCAUCUGCUUUUUCAUUCAUUCUGCCCACAGCCCUCCACAAACUUUGGUAACUCCAACUUCAACCUCGAUUUUAUUAAUAACUACUUACGAGACCUUCUUUGGUACAUAUCCCUUAUCUCAAGUUUUUGAUCAAACCAAUCCAUUGACACAAACGUAUGCUGCCUUGCCUGAUCUUACUAGAGUGAGUUUCCUUCGCUAACGAGAUGAUGCAUAUUCUCACUCUGGACUAUUCCCAGAUUUACAACCAACAACUAGUCUUAUCUCAUGGGCGUAAAAAGACAUCAUAGAUAACAACUAAUUCUCAUAAAGUUCUUUCGGUUCAAGGGAGGGUUACUUACAAGUGGAGUCUGGCGAGGAUCUUUUGUUUCCUUAAGAACAAUCCUAAUCACAUAUCCAAACCAAAGAAGAUGAUAUUUAUUUGAUAAAGCGCAUUCUAUUAUCGUAUUGCGACACUGCUCCUAUCCCUAACGCUAGCUCUGUUGACUUCAUUCCUUGUCGGUCUAUGGCACUCAUUUAGAUCAAUAAAAGGCCGCUUUACAACCAGGGCGGGUCUCGCUGCCGGAUCAAUGCGCAGGACGCACGAUCUACAAACAACAAUAGAGAGAGCCAACCAAGAACGAAAGAACCUGGAAACAAACCCGCGAGCGAAUACCAAACAGAGUAAGAAGGAGGAAGGGCCGAAGGCGUUGGCAUCCAACAAUGUUGGAUGAGUGGAACAGAAAGGAAUGGCACGGAAAGGGUUUUAGGGAACUAGAAUAAAGAUAAUUAGUUUUCAUAUUUUUCAAUAUAAAUAUGAAUUUAUUACGAAUAGGAAUUAUGAAUUGGUACUAUUAGUAGGGAAGGAAGGGCUUCCUCCCCUCUUCUUCCAAAGCAUACGGCUUUCUAGAUGUAUAUGACGAUCUCUAGACAGAUGGAUCUUAUAUGAAUCGUAUGAUGAAGUACCACAUGAGUGGAGGGAAGGUAUAGUUGAAGGUAUGAGGAUGAGGAUUAGAAUUUCAUUCCAUUGCUUUGUUAGAGGGAGAGGAAGCUUCGAUUGGGGGAUACAAUAAUUCCAAUCUUCUGCACGAUCCUUUGGAGCCGGGGGUUGGAUAAAACACAGAACUAAAUCGACUUCCUUACCAGCAUGUCUGGGAUUCCUGUGGUUCUUACUGCCCCGGUGAAUGUGUAGGUACGAAUGACUAUCAAAGAAAGUGAGACCUGGAAUUCCUCCUUCUAUGCCUCCUCAUCUGUCUCGCCUGCAAAUCCUGCUAACAGCCUAGUCUAUUAGGAAACAGCUGAUUCAAUUGCUAAAACUGCUGUUUGAGAAGGGACUAACGGCACUGGCUCUUUCAAGUCUUUCGUGCGGGUAUACGUUGAGCUAGUCCUCUUACUCCUUUUCUUAGCUCUUUUAGAAAAAAUCUUAUUUUUCAUCGUGUCAGGUCUUGGAUGUAGACUCGGCUAUGGUAGGAUCGACCUAAUUGUGAUCAUUCUCCGCUUCGUUCGCUGAUCUCUUGCUAUUGCUGCAGUCCAUGGUCCGGUAUGGAAUGAACUUAUAAUCUGAUGAUCGAGUCGAUUCCAUGAUUAUAAGUUCAUUACCCUAGCGCCCAUUCCCAUUUUGGGCUGUUACGCCAGAAAUCCAAGGUUCCACACGAGCUCCUGUUCUGCGGCGUGGUGGCAGGACCGCUAGGGGAUUGGCUCCGGGUGUAGGUAGGGUCAAAUCCGCAGGGGUCAUGCAAAUACAUAGGCCCCUUCCCUUCUGCCGAGUUGUUUAGAAGGCGCUUUCCGUUCUACGGUCCCUCGGAGCGAAGGGUUAGGCAGGUAGUACGGGCCCUCUGACUUCCAGCUAUGCGCUGUGUGCGACUCCCGCGAAGCGAAUGAAGGGAAGCUCUUCGAGCUUUCUCCGCCUACUGACUCACUUUUAGGACAUAUUUGUACAUCUUUUGUCUCUAUCCUAGUCAACUGGUACGCAUGGCGUAAAUAAAGAUGACCCGACCACCCCUGUUCACCUUCCUCAAACCCAAUUCAAAUGAUGGCUGUGAAAGUCAGAAUCCUGAUGUCUCCAUUGACAAUAUCGACACCAAACCUUCUCGUAAUUCACAAUGCCAGAAUUUGGCUUAGCUGGAUUUGCGGAUGGCGGGGAAUUCAUUGACUAACUUGGCCUUGAUUGAUGAUCCAUCAACUCGUGGCUUUACAUUGAGAACAAAGCUUUGCUGACCCUUGCUAGGCUCAAGUCAAUUUAUCAAGUUUAGGCAUUUCGAUUUGGAUUUAAAAUAAAACCUUCAAGACAGAAAAAGACUCCCUUUUCUUCCUAUUGAUCUUGACGUCGGAAAUGGUUGGUUUUAAUGCUCGCACAGACGAAAUAGAACACCGGAUUGGACCUUAGCCGCUCGGGAAUAGAAUCCUUCACCACCCCAUUGGAAAAGUUGAUCUUCUAAAUUCAUAUGUUUAGCCUAAAGUACAUAACUUGUGUUCCUCCCUAGUUCUUGCCAUGCCACCUAAUCAAGCCUCACCUCAUUUGUAGUUAUAACAUGUUCAGCUGAAAGCAAACUAAAAAAAAAAGGCACUCCUCAGCGAGGACGCGGGUUUUAAAGUAGGUUCUACACAUUCGAGAAGACCCAGGCGGAUUGGAGUGGUUGUGCGCCGGGGCAAUCUCUGCUUGCGUUUUCCAAUAAGUUCUAUUGCUUUGACACAUUUAGUAUAUAACUGAAUAGAAAACGGAAUAAAAGCGGAUAAGAUAGCGUAUUAGGCCGACAAGUAGGAAGCAUAGCGGGGACAAGUUAUUACCGGUUUGAGGGGACAAUGGUUUUCUAGGUUGUUUCACCAAUCUGUUGAAUUGGAAUGGAGCUCACGACCGUGAAACCCCUCGUUGUUUGAUGGCACCUAUCUUGUUCCCUUCAGGGAGAAAUACUACUCACUUUUCCUCUAUCAAAAAGCCAAUACCGACGCUCGCUUAUCAGCUUACCAGUUCAAACCUCCUUGCUCUGCCUUUUAUACCAGAUGCCUCCUCUCUUAAACCAAGGCAUACUCUACUGGCUUUCCUUCUCUAAACUAUUCUUUAUCUGCUAUCUAUGCUAUUCCAUGCAUACUUGAGCUACAGCCUUUUUCAACCUUUUGAACUGAUUCCGUAUCUAGUUUGUGUCUUAUUAUUAAACUAUUUUAUUUGGUGUGGUGGAGAAGAAAAAUGAAACCGCGCGAUUGAAUCCACAAUUUGACUGAGGACAAGACGCGCUGCUAAUGCUAGUUUCAGUAAGCCUGUCUCUUCUAGAGGAAAGCAAAGCUGGUAAGAAGAGCUCCUAUUUUCAUACUCUAAGCUUGGAUAAUCCGCAUCAAGAAGAUUCGAACCCCUGCUAGAGCCAAAGUAAUGAGAAAAUGACUUGUCACUGUGAAGCUAAAGGGUAUCAUACCCUGGGGAUUACAAAAUAACGAAAAAGUAAAAGUGACCGAGAUGCGAGGGAAAAACUUUUGUUUAACAUUUCCACCUAUUUGUUCGUUUACCAGGUUCAGCACGAAAUCAUAAAUAAGCUCUACCAAGGAUUGCCAUGCAUUUGGCACUGACUUUCCCCCGCCCUUUUUCGUAACAACUCCAAAUAAAGAUGGCACCAAAACGACAGUUACCGCCAUAGACAAGGAUUCAUUUGUGAAUGAUAAAUAAAAGUUACCCAUAUCAAGACCAAAUAAUGGAUCAAUGAAAAAUUGAUCCAAGGGGCUUGAAAUUACUGGUCCGCCGCCUCCAGGGAUAACUAUAUCGCCAUUCCUCCAUUCAGCCCGUCCCUUCCUUCCCGGAAAAAGGCUCUCUUGCAUCUUUUGCUUCCCCACCCGGCCUCUAUUCUAGAUUCACCGUCUUUGGAUGCAUCAGUUUAUUAUGCUUGGAAGCUGCUCGAUCACAAAUACCUAUUGCAUUCUUAGUUGAUUCCACGAUCCCAGGGGAAUCCCAUAAAAGAAUCACUUAUCCCAUCCCAGCGAAUGAUCCUAUACAGUUCGUAUAUCUAUUUCGUCAUUCGGUCACGAAAACAGGGAUUCUGGAACGUAAAUCUGCGAUCACGAAAACAGGGAUUCUGGAAUGUAAAUCUGUGCACGAACCCAUGCAAACAGGCUUAAAAGCAGUGGAUAGCCUGGUUCCUAUAGGCCGUGGUCGACGAGAACUUAUAAUCGGGGGCAGAAAAACUUCAAUCUGUAGCGCUACUUCCAGAGUUACCAAAACUCAAAGUAUCCACAACUCGCGGAUAGAAUUGAUUGCCCGGAAUCACUUAUUGGUUGGUGGUUGGAGUGCAUUUCCUAUAUAUACCUUUUCAUUUCUUGGUUGAAUUCCACUGUUAAUCUGGUUUCGCAAUGGAGCUAGAAAGAUUGGUCAACUACUUCUUAAACCCAAGCAAGCUGGGAGCUCCUGAUAAUCCCUUUUUGGAAAGGAACGCGUCCACCGUACUGGCUAUUUUCAUUUCGUGUAUAACGUAUCUAUCGGCAUGGCGUCGGGCAGGAUGGGAGUUAAUUAGGGUCGAGGGAGCAGGAAAGAGUUUGUUAUUCGCUAUUGGCUUAGUACGGCCUAUACAUAAUAGGGCCAUGACGGUUUUGGCAAGGCCUUGAACUUCAUAUAUCCCUUUUUUACUCAAUCAAGAAUACCGAUAAAGUCAGAUUGAAUCAUUUUUUUGAGCAAGAAAACGGAUGCGCGUGCUAACACUUUCGCGCUAGUGCGCUCAAUCCGUUGCUUGUUUGGGGACAGAAAAAGUUCCGUAAUUGUCCUAUUUUUUCGUUGCAUUUCCUUGUUUUUAACGGAAGCGAGAAAUGCGUAAUUAAUAUAUAGAUGUGAUGAUUCCAUGAAUCUCUGAAAAGGUAGGGGUCAAGGACCUUAUGGGACUGCAAUCGUGCCUGCCAAUUGGGGAAGGACGUGGGCCUGGCAACUGCUCGGCUCUAGUAAGGGAAACAGGUAUGUCUCACAUCAUUGCUCGAAGACUGGAAAAACUGCAAGUUAGCUCAGUUGGUUUAAAACGGCAUAUGUGAGUGACGCGAACUAGCAUUUUGAAUUGAGAAAGCCGGUAGCCGGGGUGUUCGCCCUUGGUCUACGCGGAUCAGGGGCCCAGCUAACGCGUGAAACACUCCGCCUGGGGAGUACGGUCGCAAGACCGAAACUCAAAGGAAUUGACGGGGGCCUGCAAUACUGGACAUUUGGUGAAGGCCGGAUGGGGAUAGCGCUCACCUGAUACUUGGACUCGAAGGGGAGCAGGUCGUGUCUCAAUAUCUUCAGGAGAGGGGAGGGCGUCGCGUAGGCAUAGUUCCAAUGGUAAGCUGAUUCCAGGUACGCCCGUUCCUCUACAUCGUUUGACUAUCAAAGUCAGGUCAAAUGUAGGUGAGUGUUGCGACUCAGUAGCCUACCAUCCAUAUAUAGGGAAUCCAUACCGUCGGCUUGUCGAUCCGGGAUCGCCCAGGAUCGGGUGGAAGGUCGGAGAAGCCAGUCUUCAGUGGUGCUUCCAUGGCAGUUGGAUAGUAGAUCAGAGAGGUAACUCUCGGGUGAGGCAAGGCAUAUUGAGAUUUCAGAGCCCACUUUAUUAAAAACUUCGAUUUGAAGCCGAGAACCCACCUGAAAACAAUCAUUUGACUAAAGAUCCGGUUUUGGUAGGACGAAGAUUUUUCACUUUCGUGAAGGUCGUUCUGAGGUGGAAUCGAACCACUCUGUUAGGAUUUAGAGUCCAACGCGCAAAGCUAAAGAGGAAUCUACCAGUUUUGCAUGAAGAUUCCGGACCUACCGAAUACCUUUUUUAAAAAAGGAUGGCUCAAGUAGCCGCUCUGGAUCUUGCUCGAUCUUCCUUGGCUUCCGUGCUCUUUGACACAACCAUCUUCAGUCUACCGCUCAUGUUCGACGCUAUUAUGGACCGAGAAGAGGAAUCAACGAAAAACCCAGGAAAGAGCUGCGAAAGAAAAGCGUGACGAGCAAAGUCAAGUCUCCUCUAUCAUUAGAAAGUAGCCGAUGGGAGGUUUGAUCUUUCGCCGCUACGGUCACAUCAAUACAACCCAUUGGCAGGUUUGGUAUGUGUAUUCACGAGAGCUCUGCUUCGCUCUAUUCCACCUCCCGGGUGUAUGGAAAAAUCUUUAAAAGAAAUAAAUCAUGCGGUACUUCUUGUUUUAAUCACUCUUCCUUUCCUCCCGGAACUGGGGAAGAACCCUUCUGAAAAGGAAUGGAGGUAUAUCUUUACUCGGAGUGCAACGCAGAGAUAGAGAUCGAAGAGCCGAUAUUUCGUAUGUAGUGGCCAACUACCACACCUAAUUGGUGUUAUGAUUGGUUAAGAUGAAUGAGAAUACAACCAAAUAAAGGUUGUUAAUCCACCUUCAAUAGGGAAAGAAUGACAGGAUAUAAUAAUAUUGCGGAGUCCCUAAAUCGCAGGGAAGCACUAAGAAACAACAUGCCAUUUGAAGCACUCGGAUGCCCAACCACAGCUAUCACAAUCACCCCCCGGAAGGGGGCCUUCUUCGCCUUCCACCUAAGCUGCGCAGGAAUCGCAACCUUUCAGCAUUCAAAUUAUCCACAGAGCUGGAAAAAUCACUCUGCCCUUACAGUUCAAAGCCCUAACCAAGUUCAUUUAGAGUAUGGGGGUUCUUUACAGAGUGGCUUACUCUUCAGAAGGGCUAGACCCUGGGACUCCGCUUUGUUGCUAGCUUUUCGUUGCCUCUCUGAUCUACUAUCCAACUGCCAUGGAAGCACCACUGAAGACUGGCUUCUCCGACCUUCCACCUGAUCCUGGGCGUUCCCGGAUCGACAAGCCGACGGAAUCUACUAUGCGCGAUACGCUGACGACAUUUUGUUUGGGAUUCCCCGGGCCAAAGAGAUAUACCUGUUCCAUUCCAAGUGAAAGACCAGCAGCUUUUAUCUCUAAAUAAUAGCUAGGCAUCAGUUUGAGUUCGAGAUUGAAAAGUCCUCUCAAGUUGACUUUUUAUGGAAAAAUGGGUUCGAUUCCACCUCAGAACGACCUUCACGAAAGUGAAAAAUCUUCGUCCUACCAAAACCGGAUCUUGAAAAGUGUUCAGUGCCCAACACAUCGGUGAAACCGGGGAGAGCUGAAGAGAAGGGAAACCCCAGAGGCAUUGAUCAUUUGGUCACGUUUGUGAUCUCGUAUAUUUCGCUUCUCCGACAUCUUACUUAGUUUCCCCCUCAUCUUUUAGCAAAAAGCCACUCCACAGUAGUAAAGUCUCAUCUUUUGUAUUGGCCGAAGUGACAAUAGUCACAUUGAACCCUCGAAUAUGCUCGAAGAUCUCGAAAUGAUCUUCCAGUUCCGGGGAGAAUUCACAAAACUACUUCCUCUAAUAAAGGAGGAAAGGAGAGAUUUUCAUUAAACCAAAAGCCAACCAAAGAACCGGAACCGAUACAGUCGACUGGUCCAUAGAAUAGAGAUAAAAGCAUUACCACAGGCUCAUUCAUCGAAAAUCAUAGAGACUAUUAAGUAAAGGAUAGAGCAAUUCCUUUUUUUCAAAUAGGAAAGUGGAGGGUUCAAAAACGUUGGUUUCUUGUAGCAAACUUUUAUGUGCUUGUACCUGUCAAUGUAUUGGUAACCCGUGUCCAUGAGGGCACUUAACAAACUAAGUUUGAAUAGAUUACUAAGAAAUAACCGUAGAAGAAAAAGAAAGGAGGUUGCUACAAUUGUGGCAAACCUGGGGCACCCAUGCCGUUCAUUUACCAACGAACUCUAUUUUGCAUAUUUCAUUCUCACGUGCUUAAAUCCUACUCAAGGCUCACUACGGGUAGCGAGCAAUUAACAAAUAGAGACGAGGAUGAGGAGAAAUGACGCAUAUACGGCCGGCCUGGGUCACUCAUGAUGUUGAUAGUUCAAGUGAAUUGUCGUAGUGUAAGGAAGAUUGAUUGGUUUUCUGAUUGCUACUUGGCUGGCAUAAGAAAGAAGGCGCCCCGGCAGGAAUUCUGUAAGCUUGACUUGCGCAUAGCGUUUGGGAAUCAAAGAUAAAAAAUAACUCUAUGGGACUUACGGAUCCAGGCUAGGGUUAGCAAGGAAUUGUUUGAGCUGAUUGAGGAUAUAGAGCUGAUGGAGCUACCUUUGCAAGGGCGCAAAUUCACUUGGAACAAUGCUGUGUCAGCUGCUAAGUUAGACAGAUUCCUUUUUACAAUAGACUGGGGAUUAAAUGUUGUAUACCCAUGCUGUGGUGACUGCCCUUCCUAGAUAUGGUUCAGACCAUGUUCCUUUGUUGCUGGAGUGUGAGACUGAAUCUUGAUUUGUCUAAUAACGGAUAUUGAACGGUAUUCAGCGAGGGCUGCUGUCAUUUCAUUUCUAUCACGUAAUGCAAGAGAGCCAGCAGUAUCCAAGUCGGCAGGGCGUUGAAUAAGCACUACUCUCCUAAUUUCUUAUUUUAACCCAUCCACAAAACAAAAGUAGUAGUGAAUAUUUCAGAGUCUAUAUCUGUGGUUCCAGAAGUGGAAUUGCUAUUCUCGAUUCAGACAAGACACUGAUUUGUUUACGAACCGCUCUUCAUUUUAUAGGAUCUCCCAUUCGUAAAAAAUGCCGUUCCUUCCUUUUAAAGACCAAUCAUUUAUUUCGAUGUGAGAUAUUGGCGGCCUUAUCAUAGUAGCCCUUCUUUCUUGCCAGCGAGAUAGUUACUACGAAGUCUGCGUUGUUGCCAAGACUUACUCAACUCACGACUUUCACCUGCUUCCGGUGACAACUACCACUCUCUUAUGAAUGGCAGUCACACGCGCGCAAACGAGCACCGGCCGCAACAGCAAGGAACUAUGACCAAUAGAGUCAGACACAGCGUCAUACUUCUUUAUCUUGUAAUGGUUGAGGAGUUUCUUUCUCAGAGGGUGCGGGACGCUUGCAGAGUCCGUGCCUUCCAUACCACCACAGGUCAUUCUUGGUCCUCGCGUGGUUGAAGGAGAUGCUGCUGCUGGAUGGAAUGCUUCCGUUCCGGGGCGCCAUGAUCCUUCUAUCAGGAAUAAUCGAGGGCACUGACUGACUGCAUCAAUCAUAGGUCCAGCCUACUACGAGGAUCGCGUAUCCCGUACAUCGUCUUUCUCCCUCCUGGGUUCCCGUGGUUCCUAUGCCGCCGCGUUUCCCGGUCCUUAGCGGACUUGGGAAACGGAAGAGAUCAAAAGCGAGAAGUGACUAGUUGGAAGUUCCUGAAAGCAGGGAAAGGCUCUCCGCCUUUACCUGCCCGUUCUUUCCUUGCCACCAUUGUGGUGCCGGUCUCACCCUCUCUGCUGAGGAAUCAAAGAUCCUCUUCUUCCUGUGUACCUCUAGUGACUCGACUCGUGUCUUGGAGGUCCAAAUGUUCCUAUUUGCCUUUGCAUUUUUGUGCCUCUAGAAGCCUAAAAAAGAAGCGAAAUAGAAAGAUCAAAAAUCAGUUACGAAAUGCAGUAAUUCUUCUUUUUUCUUCUAAUUGAUUGCAAUUAAACUCGGCUCAAUCUCUUUUUUCAGAUUGAGCCGAGUUUAAAUAGAUCUUUCUAUACUAUUAGGGAGUAGAGUGUAUGAAUCUCGUAGAUGGAACACCAAUUUCUUAUUCCCCCUUUUUUCCUCAAAAUUUCUAACUGGUAAAGCUUCUUGUUCCUCAUCAGCUGUUUGAUGGUGUACUCGACCAUAUGACUGAACAACAUGAUCUUGAGCUAUCAUUUGUUCAAUUUGGUCGAUCUGAUACUUAGUUAACUCAUUCAUCUUGAUGUUCCCACUGAUACCUAAUCGAUAACGAAGCUGAAUGGCUUUUUUCGGUCCAAUUCCAUCCAUUUUUGUUGAGGCAAUUCUGACUUGUUCAUCGGCAAGUGAUCUAGCUCCUGAGAUAUAUGACAUUCUUUAUCCUUCUCUUUUCCUGGUCUUCUCGGCUAGAAUCUACAAUGGACUACAGGUCCUUAUGAUGAGUGAGUGGGGGUUGCUCAAUUGACUACACUAUUGGUGCACUCUAUGCUAUCUCCUUUAUGAAUUUCUUCCUUUCUGAAAGUCACCACAGUGGAGAGUUACUAUCGACUUUCUCCAUGUGCCACUUCUAUAUGGGAAUGUGCUAGUAUGGAAAGCCGACGUUGAAGGUUCUAAUUGCUUUUCUGUUGCACUAUUGCUUAACUCCUCCUGUGGAUCUUCCUCAUCCUCACCAACCUCUUCUUCUUAACCCAAUAGCAUGUUUAGUUUGAUUUUACACUGAUGCCCAGGGUAGUAUUUAUCUCCACACUUCCCCCAAAAUCCACACUCCAAUGUGUGACCCCUUUAGUAGAGAGAAAAAGCAGGCGCACUUCGCACUUCAGAAAAUCGUAUAAAAAUGUGUGGUUCCAAAUGCGCUAACGCGCAACGGCUUUCGCGCUAGUUGCUCAAAAAAUCGUAUAAAAAUAAAGCAAUCAAAAGGUGAAGGCAGGGCAGUGGGCGUGGGACUGUAAAUCCUUUUUCAUUCGCUGGGCCUGGGCCCUUUGCACUCUAAAUCCAAACAGAGUGAGUGGUUCGAUUCCACUUUAGAACGAAAGCAAAUGCAAGUGAAACGAGACGAGAAUCAAAGAUUUUUCAGUGCCGCUAAAACCCCUAGUCACUGAUUACAUGCAUGAGUAUUGGCUUUGGCAAGCAAGUCAAGGAAAGAAGAGGAAAUUAAAAGUUCCCUGAGUUUGAUGGUACUAAGUUAGAUGUCACAAAUAGGAAUUCAUGGCCUACUGUAUGCAUGUAUGUGCUAAAAGAAGAUCAAAAACCGGGGAAUCACUUAAUAAGAAAUUCUAACUAUUGCUCGUAUGGCUAUGUUCUAUUUGUAGGAAUAAAAUAAGGAUUAGGCUGUGGAGAGAUGGCUGAGUGGUUGAUAGCUCCGGUCUUGAAAACCGGUAUAGUUCUACGAACUAUCGAGGGUUCGAAUCCCUCUCUCUCCUUUUGCUUUCCUCUCUCUUUUCUUUUGCGUAUUGAAUACGUUUGUUUCUUUAUUUGUUUUUUUUGUUCUGUCCCCUUAUCUUUCUUUCAUAGCCGCACCGGAUUGAGCUGUCCAAGAAGCUAGGUCUUUUUCGGGGAAAUAAGUUGUUUCUGCUACUGAACCAACUAGUCAAACUAGGCAUUCUCUUUCUUCUUUGAAUUCCGAUCGUCAUCCAACAUACCAGUAACAUGUGAUGAGAAAGUAAAUGAAGUAUAUUCUCAAAUCAAGUCAACAAGUCAAUAUGUAUGUGUCUCUAUUCUAAGAAAAAGAAGAAGGCACCACCACCGAGAACUGACUACACAACCGAGAAGCGUGUCAGCCUUCCUUAUUCAAUCAACUCUAAUUUAGUACUAGUACGAUCAAGAAAAGUAGGAAGUUGAACCAGACUUUAACAGUUUUUUAAGCAGGCAUUUUCAUGGUUCUCGUCAUAUAAACCAGUCUGUACUGCAUGAUUUCAUGCAUUAAUCUAUUGCUGAAGGAACCUUUCGUCAGUUUUCUUAAACAAAAGGUACCCGGUGUUCUAGCGGGGAAAUUCCAAUGAAUUUCGAUCACAAUCAUGUGGUAAUAAUGGGUUUGAAUCAGAGAGACUCGAUCUGGAAACUCCUCAAUGAUUAUAACGUGAACUCGUUGAAGAGGAGACAAGCAUAAAUAGACGCUUUUUUUGAACCAUUUGAGAGGGCGCAGUCCCCUACCUUACCGCUUGGCCAUGCCGCCAAAUCCGAUCUAAAAUCGAGAAAAAUCCUGGAAUGUGGACUUCAUUGACCAGCCGCCUCUUAGUCCACACCCAACUUGGAAGUGUUAUUGAUUCGUUAGUCACCUUCGCCAUCCUAAUACCCGAAACUGUAGUGUUCUAAGUUGGUUAAAGCCGUCCAUGGAAGAUUGGAUUUGCUGAUAAGGAGGUCGCACCAAUAUUGUCACACCACAAGGCCCUCUGUCCCACACAUCUAUCAAGAAGCAAGUGUAGUUCACCGGUUCCACCAAAUGCUCCUAUCUCUCGGCAAAGAUUGUGUGAGUGUGCAGUUAUGCUUCGGAUGCUUCGCCAUGGAAUAGAUCGACUCAGUUCCCCUUCUUUUCCGGUGCACUCGCUUUGCAUCUCCGACACACAAGGAAGGACGCGGUGGGAAGAAAGCUGCCCUAGCCUCUGUCCGGUCGAUCAUUCCGCUGGCAUCUUGCAUUCACGCCUCCGUUUGACUGCCGCUCGGGAAUGUAGUUGUAGAUACGUGAGUCUUAGUGGGUCGUUGGCGACUUAAGGAAGCUGACUCUCGUUCUUUGGACCCCACAGACCGAAAAGAAAAAAAGUUCGUCACUUUUUCUCUUUCACAUACACCGGGAGAAAGGGUGACGAUAGCAAUCCUCUUUGCCUCCCCGGCCGGGGAGCCCCCAGGACAAGGGGGGAACAUCCACAAUAGAUCCAGUGCGCUUGACAAGAUCUCCUUCUUUAAUAGCGGUAUCACUACCAAAGACAACAAUACCUACAUUCUCAUUCUCAAGAUUCAAGGCUAUUCCUUUCACACCGCUGGCAAAUUCCACCAUUUCUCCAGCUUGAAUCUCGUUCAAUCCAUAAACACGUGCAAUCCCAUCUCCAACUGAGACCAUUCUCCCCAUUUUUCAGACAUUUUCCUAUCAGUCUCACCGUCAAGAUCGCAGUUCACAAAGCACACCAACUAUAUGUGACCCCUAUACAGGAGCUAUGCCCAAAGAUGUCUGAAGCUUCGAAGAUGGUAGAAAGAUUUAUGCUGAACAGCCCAUAUCAAAAAGGCAAGGGAUUGGGCAAGAACUAGCAAGGAAUAUUCGCCCCUUGCUGCUUGCUGGUUUUUCCAUCAUCCAAUCCACAACAAAUCGAAUGAAACCGCUUCGGAUUUCUUUUGAUGUCCAAAGCCACACCUUCUUUCUCACAUAGGAACAGAGGUCAGGAGCUGCCGGCAGGGCGCUGCUUUUAAUCUGACUGAUGGCUCGCCGUGCCUAAGGGUAUAUCGGUUGAAGUAGAUUCUUCUUUUCUCUCAAAAAACCCCUUCCGAUGGUCAGAGGCGAAUUGAAAGCUAAGCAGUGGUAAUUAAGACCCCCGGGGGAAAAUAGGGAUGUCUCCUACGUUACCCAUAAUAUGUAGAAGUAUCGACAUAAUUUCAUAGAGUCAUUCGAUCUGAAUGCUACAUGAAGAACAUAAGCCAGAUGACGGACUCAUAAGAGGGGGAGCAGUAGCAAAAAUGAGAUCUUUCGUCUAGACAGAAGAGAGAUCCUUUCCUUCCUUUCUAUAGGAAAUGACUGAUGUUGCUAAGUUUUAGGAGUCUUUUCAAUCCAUCUUACUUUGAAUCCGGGCUCGCCUUCACUCAGUCAAGGGGUUGCCCUUUACCUCGUUCCGUGGUCCUUUAUCCCCUCCUUGCUGGCUUGCUUGAUAGGCUGGCGCAUAACCCCCAUUUCUUGACCCAGAUUCACAACCGAACCUAUUUCUCAUCUUCAUCCCGACCUAUCUAUAUGUGACACUCCGCCCGAAUGGCCUUUAUGCCCGAGAGUGAAAGGUGCUCCAGCUUGCUUGGUGAACACUGACUUACUGAAGACCGGAAUGGACCAAUGUGACAUUGACUCAAGAAGGUAGACAAAACAACCUACCUUUCACUAAGAAGCGGUACCAACCCUGGACUUCCCGGAAUCAAUGAAGGAGUUCAUUCAGCACUGAGCCGAGCGAGCGUAGAUUCAAUAUGUUGAUUGUACCGAACGAAGGAUUUGACUUAUCACGAAAGCCACAUUCGUUUCGUUUGAGGAAGUUACACGCCCUGUUCCCUAUAAAUAAGGAGAUUCAUUCUUUUUUUUUCAGAAAUCCCCUGUUCCUUGACUUCUUUGCUUUUUAUUUUGGAAGGGCUUCGUUUCCAGGCAGGUAACGUAUAGAAGACUGAAAGUUGAAGUUCCGGUGGGUCUCGUCAAUCGAUUACCUUCCUUAUUGCGCCUGCCCCUAAUUGGAGUUGAGUUGGCUUUGAUCGAUUGCUUGGUGUCACGCUAUUUACUACUACGGUUAGCUAAAUUCGUUUAUGACACCGAUUCAUUUCUAGUUGAUCCAUUCGUAAGGUCGUUCAGAAGCAAAGGCCUACUACUAUACUAUACAAGUAAGCUGGUCAAGUCAAAAGAAGGUUCACAUAACCAGGUGGCUGACGCAUAUAAACAUCUUCUUCAAGAACUCCAUGAAGAAAAGCAUUUUGAACAUCUAGCUGUCGCAAAGGACCCUGAAAAAGUUGUUGCAGCAACUCCAACGAGAAAGAAUAAGCACAAAAAAGUAGUAAGAGAUCGUUUGGGGACGAGCCUCCUACUCCUAGAAUGUAUUUUCCGACGAGUUUAGAUAUACUCUUGGAGAGACAAUAACAUGAUCACUUUUGGACACAAUUAUGUGUACUUCUGCUCUCCUUGGAUUAGAGAGACUGAUCAGCUAGCGUUAGGUGAGAUUCCUUUGAUUGAAUUUAGCUUGCCAUCAUGAUACGCUGCAGUUAGAUUAGGAACCGUAUAGGCGGCCUCAUAUACCCGGAAGCUUUGGAUUCACGGAUCCGAAACAAGACAUUUCAUGCCCAAGUACUCAUCACUUCUUGGGUCGUAAUUACUAUCUUGCUAGGUUCAGUUAUCAUAGCUGUUCGUAAUCCACAAACCAUCCCGACCGACGGUCAGAAUUUCUUCGAAUAUGUCCUUGAGUUCAUUCCACUAAAAUACCUUUGAAUAGCGCUGAAGAUAUCAUUGCGAACCGCGUCCAGUAGACGACCUCUUCCGCUCAUCCCCUUCGUCAGCUCUUUGAUAGGGAUACUAUAACAUAGGUCCCUAAACUUGGAAUGGAUGGCAAAAGGGAAGGAGGUCCUCAUACGGAGUCGCACACUUGAGUAGUGCGGGAGACUGGAGAAUGGGUCGAGUAAACUCAGGUUUUCACUUUUCAGUGAGUGAAAGAUUUGUAUCCGGGUCUACGUUCAAAGCUUCUACUGCACCUCUCGCCACUACUCCCUGUGUCAUCGGUUUGAUGCUCGGUCCCAAGCAUGAGUUUUGAAUUUGGCUUGGGACACCCCCUAGCGAAAUGACCGAGCCCACCACGAGAAAACCUACUGGGUUUUAGGGCGUUUUGACUGGUGGCGAAACCAAGUGAAUGAACUACUUAGCUCAUGUUCUUCAAAGUUUCGGGAUACUAGCCACCCCUCAUUGAGUAUGAUCUGAGAACCCGAUUACAUUAGCGCGAUAGUAUGUAGGGAUACAUUACUCCGACUAGGAUUCCGGGGUGGAUUGUUGGGAAACAACACUUCCAUCAGACAGAAGAGAGAUCCAUUCCUUCCUUUCUAUAGGAAAUGACUGAUGUUGUGUCACGCCCGGAAUUUCUAUCCAAAAUUCCAAACGCUUACAUGUGUGUGAACCCUCGUCCAGGAAUCAGCCGAGGCACACCAUAACAAAUUGAUAAUAGAGUACAAUUAUUACUCUAAUUAAUAAGCGAAUAAAAUGUCAUUACAGAGGUAGAUAGUUCCUCUCAAUCAAUAAAGAUCUAAGCAGCGGAAAAUAAAAUAAACGGCGCAGACGACUCCACUCCACAGGCAGCUUGACCAGGGCUACACCUAAUCCUCCACACCAUCAGCUUCACUGUAGAACUCUUCCUCUGAUGAAUGAUUGCAAGGUGAUUAUAUGACAUACUUAGCAAGUCACGCAGCAAAUAUGCAAGUGCACAGGAUAACAAAGGAUGGCAUAGUAUAAGGCUCAUUUGCAAAAACAGCAUUUAGCAAACAUUUGAGAAUUAUAAAACAGUUAAGUGAUAAUUAAACAAUAUUAAUCCAACUCUAUACAACAUACCCUGUUGCAUAGGCCCAACCAUUCUGAACAACCAUACCCGGCUGUACAGAUCUAUCUCCAAACCAGGAAUAUACCAUUCCAAACCAGGAGCUAACCAAAUUAUUAUCAGUUAUAACAUCUUCUAUUAUGAUGAGAGGUGUGAGACUAAUCACGAAAGACAUUGUUAGACCCGCCCAUAACCGCGGGCACGGCUAUUCGAAUAGUUUUACUCUGAUCAGAGGUGUACCACUGUACCCACAAGACACAGCUCCACAUCAUGUCACCAUGUGCCUCAAUACCACCACGGUACCUCGGAAAGGAGCUGUGACAGUACCUCUCGUACAACACAAUCCACCACAGUGCACCAUUCCUGGAUCAUAAUCACCCCCUUAUAAACAAGGCAUGGACUCCCCAGCGACCCCCGUGGGCUUAUCUCCGCCACUUCUCAGUCUGGUGCCCCGCAAUGAACCAUGGUAUACAAAAGAUAAAGCCGUUGCCCACGCUGGCUUGUGGUUGGCACGGUUAAUGUUUCACAACCGAAACUCGUGAACCGGUCCUUAAUUGUCAUGAGCACGACCAUCAAAACCAUGUGCUCACAACCCACCAUUAUCAGGUUUUAGUUGGCAAGUAAUUAAUUAACAAAUCAUGAUUGACCAUCGUGAACUAUCAUUAAGCCAUCAUUAAAUAAUAGUGAUUCAUAAGUUAUCCCAAUAGUGUGCUAAUGUUUCUAAGCAUGGCUAAGCAAUUAUAUCUAAUAUCUAGUUGAAGCAAUAUAUAUAGCCCAACUAGUCAAGUUAUAAUAACCCAGGGUAUCAAGGAAUAAAGUAAUCAAGGACAAAAAGGGCUAUAGCAAACAAUAGGUUAAUUCCACCCAAUGACAUUCGAAAAUAAAUGCAAUAGUUGAAUAGAAAUAGUAGCUUUAAACGGGAUCAACAUGCUCAAAGGGUUGUUUGGGAUCUGUGUGACUUGCCUUGCUGGCCUUGGAACUCUUCAAAUUCUUCUCGUGCGAAAACGGACUCUCCGGAAACGUCGGAAUCUAAACAGAAAAGAGCAAAAAUACCAAAACAGCACAUAAACAAGCAUGAACAGUACAUGUGGAUAUUUUUAACAUGUAGAUCUCAAUUUUAGAAAAAUUUAGAGACUUGAACCAACUAAAUCCGAGCUAGGAUGAAUUAGUUAUGAAUUUUCAAAGAUUAAAUCGGAUUAAAUCACUUAUAUGGAUUUUAAUUGAAUUAUGACGCAAUAAUGAAUUAUUUUUGAAAAGGAAAAAGGAAUUAUUGCGUCAGCGGCUAGGGUUUGCGGUGGACCGGGCGCACGGCGACGGUUCACGGGAACGGACGGCCGAGAUCGAUCCAUCCAAAACGGACGGCCGAGAUCGAACGGUCCACGACCGGCUCACGGCAGACGGCCACGAUGACGUCAGCGGUGACGUCAUCGAUGACGUCAGCACCGGCGGCGGCUCGGCGGCUCGGGCGCGCAAGCUUGCCGGCGAACGACGGCGCUUUGGCACGAACGAAGGACACCAGCACGAAGCGGGCGACGCGGCGAACUCACCGGUGACCAAUGCAACAGCGGAAGAUCAACAGACGGCGACGGCGACGAGGUUGAAGCGGCGGAGAAGAUCGGGUUGACGGCGGCGACGGUGCUCCGGUGGUCAACAGCGACUGCGAAGGGGAGGACGAGGACGGCGAUGCGAUGGCGACCACGAAGACGACCUUCCCGAGCGACGGCGACGACUGGAACGGUGGCAGCGCACGGCUGGAGCGACGUCGACGACGGCGGCGCAAGGUCUCACGGCGCUAGGGCUCUUCCGACGGCGAGAGACGAAAGCAAGGGUGGCGGCGGGUAGAGGAGACACCGGGGAUCCUUUUAAAGGGGCUAGGAGGCGGCGACGAAGGCCCACGGCGACCGGUGACGCGAAGGAAAGAUCGGGGCUCGGAGAGAGAGAGACCGAUCCGAAUCGACCUCGAAUCAAACACUUUCGAAGCGAUUUUAGCCGAUGAUUCCAAAAGAGAUAAGGUAGAGGAGAUCCCGAAGAUUGUUUCCCCUCAAACGAUUUCACCGGAUCGGGAAAGGAGCGGCCGGAUUUGGAAGGAAACGGCGGCGGCGCGGCGCUAGGGUUUCGGGCGGCGGCGACGCGAGGAAGACGACAGGUCCGACAGGUGGGACCCACCUGUCAGCGACCGAACGCGCGCGCGCGGCGCGGCGGACUGGGCCGACUUGGGCCAGGGAGAGAGAGAGAGGGUUUUGGGCCGACUUUCGGCCCAAAGCCAAAAGAGACUUUUAAAAACCUUUUCAAUUUAAAUUAUUCAUGAAAUGCAAUUCUAUUUAUUAAAAAUACUUCCUUAGUUCAAAUAAAUCCCAGAAAAAUCUAGGAAUUAUAGAAUUAAGCAAAGUAUUUAAUGAAAUUUUAUCUGACCCCAUUUUAUAUUAGAAUUUAUUAAUUAAAAUUAGAUCUUCUCUUCUAGGCUUUUUAAAAUAAAUUCUAAUAAUUCCAUUUAAACAACAAUUUAUAAGAUUUUUAGGGUGUGACAUGUUGCUAAGUCACCUUCCGCUGCUCUUGCGUCAUCCCUUUUCCAAUUCUUUUUGUAUGGCUCGGUUGCAUCCGAUUGAUCGAUCCCUAGUCACUGAUUACAUGCAUGAGUAUUGGCUUUGGCAAGCAAGUCAAGGAAAGAAGAGGAAAUAGUACUCGGGCAAUGCCUAUUGCUCUGUUGCCUAGAAGUCUCAUACAUAUGUAUAGAAUCUCAUCCAUAUUAUCUUAUAGGAAGAGUAGUAACUACCUGCAUUCGUAUAUUCCAAAAAAGAAGAAAGAAUUCAACCUAGUAGAGUAUAACUUUGCUUGCCUAGCCUUUCAAAGCUAUUGUUGAUUCUAGAAGGACCUUAGAGUAUUGUCACUGUUCCACUGGAAUAAAAAUAUUUGUCAGUUGGCUCUCCCCGAUCUGGAACAGUCCCGAAUACGUAAAAGUCUUUGCCCAAAAGGAUAAUCCUAGAAUCCCAUCUGUCUUCCGGAUUUGGAGAAGUGCCAAUUUUCAAGAAAGAACGCGAAUCUUAUGAUAUGGUGGGAAUCUCUUAUGAUAAUCAUCCACGCCUUAAACGUAUCCUAAUGCCUGAAAGUUGGAUAGGCUGGCCCUUACGUAAGGACUAUAUAACCCGGCAACCCCUGUCAAUGUAUGUUUGAUUUGGGAGGCUACCAAUUCUGGAAUUUCUUCUCGAGACAUCCCCGUCAGUCAACUUCUCUUCGGGAUGGGUCGUUGGUUUUUGUGGAGAUAAUGUGUCAGCCAUGGUAGAAGUAGCUCCCAUUUAUUGGCUGAUGCUGUGACCUAUGAGAGCCCAAAUUAUUUAUCAGAUGCGGAAAGCACAAAUUCUUUAGGACCAGUAACUGAUUUGGCGAGCCCCUUGGAUCACAUCAUUGUGAGCACAAAUUGCCAAAGCAAAAAGCACCUAAGUCCUUAAGGAUCACAACGGGCCACGCUGGUAAUAAUAUUGGGCUGAAGUACUGUACAGGCCUAGGCCCAUUAGCACUCCCGAUACCCUAACAAAACACCGAAGUCCAAGCGAUGCUUCGUCUUCCCCGCUGAAACUCUCGCCAUUUCCCCACUCCUUGCUACAGUACAAAGCCAUGCCGACGAAGCUAGGGUUCAUCAAUCCACCCCAAUCCGUUCUCAAAAAUCCACGAAACUUCUCUGUGCAUCCACUGCACCGAUUCCCCAUCCCCCUCCAGCUAUAUCUCAGACCGAAUCAGACCAUUCAGCUCGCAUCCAUGGCGGAAGAAAGAGAAAGUUUCGAGAGUCAGUGGGCGCCCUCCGACGUGAUAGAGGAGAAUCUGAAAGAAAUGGUGGUGCAUGGCAUUCUUCCGGCGAAGGAGAUCAUCGGGUGGCGACCGGCGUUCGGCGAAGCGUUCCCAACCCCUGAUACACACAAGGUCGUGGUAUUUUCUCACUUCUUUUAUGGCGGAUUUUCUCUUCCAACUUCAAGAUUCUUCCGAGGAAUUCUGAACUUUUAUGGAAUUAGCCUGCAUCAUCUGAAUCCGAACUCCAUAGUGCAUAUUGCCAAUUUCAUUCAAGCCUACGAAGCUUUUCUGGGCAUUAGGCCUCAUUUUGCUUUGUUCUGCCGCAUCUUCUUCCUCAAGCCCCAGCCGAACAAGAGCAAACCAUGUGUUGUUGGGGGCGCCGGUUUCCAACUCAAAGGAACACUGAGCCAAAAAUAUUUCUCCAUGCCCUUCAAGACCUCAAACAAAGGCUGGCACGCAAAUUGGUUUUACGUUCAAAAUCCUGAAACAGCACUCCCCGAGUACUCCUGUCUCCCUCCAGUCUAUCAGGAUACAUGGAAUUCAUUGCCUAUGGGAGAUGAAGCUGCUCAGGCAGUAGAACUGAUGGAGCGCAUGCUAAAGCUGAAGGAACAAGGUUUGCAGGGAGAACAGAUCACUCGGCACUUCAUCAAAAGUCGGUUAGCUCCAAUCAAAGAGAGAUCCCGCAUGGCUUUCGAGUUUGACGGCAAACAUGAUCCAAAUCGCGAAGGUCCAGACUCUCUUGACUUUAAGGUCAUGAAGGAAAGGAUGUACAAGAUCUUCUCAAAUACUAUCGUCGUCAGCUAUUCGCAUCUGCUGCCUGUUAUGCCAUACAAUGCAUUCAAUCCCCCUCCACCGGUAUGUGUUCAAACACUUCAACCUUCCUCAAAGUAUAAUCUUGUCUUCUUGUUGAAUCAGUUGACAGUAGAAGAUAUUAUGUCUAGGAAUUCGCUUUGAUGAAGUCGGACCCCCCAAUCGCUCAGCGCCGAUCACCUCGCCAUCAAACUGGUCAGGGGAGCGGGGGACCAAAGAUCCGGUCCGAAGCCCAGCCCAACACCUCUAAUCCAGCCGGCCAAUCGGAUUCCCGCAAGAGGAAGUUAGUGCUGAGUGACGACGAAGGCGACGACGCUAAAAAGCCUGGAGAUAGAGAAACAACUAGAAAACUACCGAAGCAGGCUAUUCCAAAGAAGAAAACAUCUAGUCGUCCUAUGCCGAAGAUCAGGAAGUCUUCCAGGUACAAAUCAUAUAACGAUCUUCCUUGUAUUGAUGCGCACCCAGUAUGGAAAUAAUACUGAUAACAAAAACUUGUAGGAAACCAUUUGAUAUAGAUCCUUCUGGAAAAGACUCUGAUCCGGCUAACAUGGAGACGAGUUCUUCCAAAGAAACCGGGCCGACUGCUAAAGAUCAUCCGAGUGAUAAUUAGCCAGCAACCGAUAAUGUAGGAUCCGGUGAUCAUCCCCCGACUGGAAACCAGUCGGCCGAAGCCGAAGCCGGAGUUAAUUAGGAGCCCCUGACUGGAAAUCAGUCAGACAUAGGGCCAACCCAAGAGAUUCCAGAAGUUAAGGCUCAGUCAGACAGCCCUCGCGGACAAGAUGCCAGCAAUGACCCGAGGCCUGGAUCUCCCGCUAAAGCAUAAGAAUCGACUCGUCCUCGUCCGGGAAUCAUCACAGGUAAACACUUUGCCUGAAACCAUGUUGAUCCAAGCGACUUUAAUUGAUUGUCUGACCUUUAUCCAUGGAUGCAUUAGGACCGAUGAUUGGUGAUGAAGAGGAAAUUCUCCGGAUACGAGCGGCUGAAGACUCGCGCCCUCCCAUUCUGGUCAAGUGGUGGGAUGACGACUUGCGACCUCAAGGAAUUGUGAUAAACCGGCAAAAAGAGGACGAAGAGGUGUGCCAACUGAAAAAGGCACUCGGUCAGGUGACUCGCAUUGUAAACGUAAGUUCCUUGACGCCGGACCUCAACCAUCUUGUUCGCCACCUAGCUCGAGCGCUAAUAAAACCAUUUUGCAAAGGAUUCACCUUAGGAAUAAAGCGAAGACCGCAACCCUAGAGCAGUUAGUUCCUCAUCUUGGAAACCUUGAAGCUGUCAGGGAUCAACUGCACGAGGCGAAAGAGCUUGCCAAGAAAACCGAGCACGAUCUAAGAGAUCGGAUUGCCCAGCUCCAGGAGUCUAACUUUGAACUAAGUGGCUCAUCAAAAGGUACACACAAAAUCUGUCCGACUAACUUGUGCUGUUGUCUUUGUAACUUUAAUUAACCGGAGUCAGUGCAGUACAAGCCGCCAAGAUGUCUCAAUUGGAGAAACAGAUUCAAACUCUAGAAAGCGAUAAAGCGGAGCUGGCAAGACAGAGGGACUCGGCUCUGAAGGAAGUUGAAGGUACCUUCAAUUGAUACUCCGAAAGCCAUUGCCUUCUGUACGUUGACUCAUUAAUAUGGAUCUGUUGGUGCAGACCGCAAGAUCAAGUCGCAAGCUCAAUUCGACGUCCUGGUUGGCAAAAUCAAAAGGCUUGAAGGGGCUAGGGAUGAAGUUGCUAACGCCGCUACUCCACUCGUCCAAGCAAUGUUCUUCAAUAACAAUGGUCCGAGUACAUUCGACGCUUCCGAGAUCUUCGACAAGCUGAGAGUUGCUCCGGAUACAUAUUUCAAGAACAUCAAAGAAGCUGGAAGUAUGGGAGCAAGUCUAGCGUUGGCGAUGACCAAAUCCCUUUACCCGAAAAUCGACAUUGAUGCCGUUGAUGGCUUUGUGAACGGGACGAGCGAAGAGGCUGCUCUCGAUCUUAUCAACGAUGCGCAGAAAGCCGCCGACAAGAUAGCAGUUGAUGUAGUAGAGAGAGUCCAGGACACCGAUCUUCAACCGACUGGUCCUGAUGGCUCUGAUGAUGAAAAGACUGAUACUGAUUGAUGUAACAAUGAUUUUGAUGAUUGAUGAUGGAGGCACAAUUUGUACAAUACUGAUAAAUUUAUGCUGUGCUUGGUGUUUCAUACUUAGCUUCUGAUUUCUUAAAAGCCUUUGUCAAGCCUUAUUGAGCCUAAAACCCGCAAAAGCUGUUAAAAAACUUUCAGUCCUCAUGGACUAAGUCGAAAAAUCAAGCAAGGCAAUGAUAAAUCAAGUAAGCAAAUUGAAUUGAUAAAAAUCACACUCCAUUAUUAUUAUAAUAGCCCCCGACUGAUAACUUCAAAGGGAAGCUUGAUGUUGUCAGUCAAGACAGGGAGAUACAGAAGCAAACUUAAGCAUAAAAACGACGAAGAUGUUCGAUAUUCCAAGAGUUGUCGAUAGGUGUACCGUCUUCACACUUGAGUCGAUAGGAACCUGGCCGAGUGACUUCAGAGAUUAUAAAUGGCCCUUCCCAUAAAGGGGAUAACUUGUGCCGAUCCCGUGUAGUUUGAAUUUUCCUCAAAACCAGGUCGCCGACUAAGAAAGCACGCGAUCAGACGUUACGAUUGUGAUAACGACGCAACCCUUGCAAGUAUCGGGCCGACUGAAUUAAGGCUGCUUCGCGGGCCUCUUCCAGUCGGUGUAGGUCAACCACUCGGUCUUCUCCGUAGCGCACUUCGCGAAAAUUGCGAAAACGCAAAGAUUCAAAUUCUACUUCACUAGGCAACAUUGCUUCUGCUCCAUAAACUAGGAAGAAUGGCGACUGGCCCGUAGCCCGACUGGGGGUGGUGCGCAAGGACCAAAGUACGGAUGGCAGCUGUUCCACCUAUUUGCUGGCGUAGGGAUUCAGUCGGUCAAAAACUCGUGCCUUUAUUCCUUGGAGUACCAUGCCGUUGGCUCGUUCGACUUGCCCAUUGCUCAUGGGAUGCGCUACGGAGGCAUAGCAAAUUUUGAUACCGAAGUCUUCACAAAAAUCUUUAAAUACUCCGCCGGUGAAUUGAGUGCCAUUAUCAGUGAUGAUCCGAUUAGGUACUCCAAACCGAUGCACAAUGUUGAUGAAAAAAUCUCUAGCUUUAUCUGCCGUGAUUGUGAUGACCGGUUUAGCUUCAAUCCACUUGGAGAAUUUGUCGAUGGCCACAAAGAGAUGUGUAUAACCGCUGACUGCCUUUUUGAACGGGCCGACCAUGUCAAGCCCCCAAACCGCAAACGGCCAGGACAGUGGGAUGGUUUGCAACUCUUGGGCUGGCAGAUGAGUUUGUCUGGCGAAAAAUUGACAACCUUCACACGUCCGCACAAUCUUGUCGGCAUAGGACACAGCAGUGGGCCAGAAAAAAUCUUGCUAGUAAGCCUUGCCGACAAUGGUGCGUGCAGCAGCGUGGUUGCCAUAGAUACCAAAAUGUAUGUCCUUCAGCAAUUGUCUCCCUUCUUCUAAGGAUACGCAACGUUGCAGAAUUCUUGAUGGACUUUUCUUGUACAGCUCGGUCUCAUGAAUAAUAUAAAGCCUGCUGCGCCUAGAAAUCUGCUCGGCUUCAUCUUUAUCUUGAGGGAGUUCUUGGGAGGUCAGAAAUCGUAUGAGGGGCUCUCUCCAGUUGGCUUCGACCAUAGCUAUGUCUUGAGUGUCCGCGGCUUCAGCUGUUUGUCUCUUGGGUAUGGUUGGCUCAUAAAGAUGUUCGACGAACACAUCAGAAGGGGCCGCUUCGUGUUUGGAUCCAAAAUUUGCUAGUCUGUCGGCUGCUUCGUUAUUGUGCCGAAGAACGUGGGUGAGUUCGAGUCCAUUGAACUUAUCCUCCAACUUGCGUACCUCUUGUCGAUAAGCGAUCAUAUUGUCAUCAAGGCAGGACCACUCUUUCAUAACUUGGUUAACAACUAACUGUGAAUCUCCGUGAACUAUCAGACGCCUGAUUCCCAAAGAGAUUGCGAUCCAUAGUCCGUGAAGGAGCGCCUCGUACUCUACCACGUUGUGAGAUGCAGAAAAAUGUAUCCAUAGCACAUAGCGCAGUCUUUCUCCAGUUGGGGAAAUUAAAACAACUCCGGCCGCAGUGCCCAAAAGUCUCUUUGACCUGUCAAAGUGCAUAGUCCAAUACUCCAUCUUUUCCUCGGGCGUGUCCUCUUGGCACUCGGUCCACUCGGCAACGAAGUCGGCUAAAGCUUGGGACUUGAUCGAAGUUCGCGGCUUGAACGAUAUGUCCAAGGACAUCAGUUCUAAGGCCCAUUUUGCGAUUCGCCCGUUUGCUUCACGAUUAUGGAGUAUAUCGCCGAGUGGGAAUGAUGUAACCACCGUGACCGACUGGCCUUAGAAGUAGUGGGAUAAUUUCCUGACGGUGAUUAGAACACCGUACAACAGCUUCUGAACUUGAGGAUAUCUCGUCUUGGAGUCAGCCAAAACCUCGCUAACGAAGUAGAUCAGUCGCUGGACUUUCUGAACAUGGCCUUCUUCUUCCCGCUCGACAACCAGGACCGUGCUCACAACCUGAGAAGAGGCCGAUACGUAUAGUAAUAGCGGCUCUUGUGGGUGUGGUGAGGCCAAAACUGGUGGAGUAGUGAGAAGUUUCUUGAAAUCUUCAAAGGCUUUCUGUGCUUCGGGUCCCCACUGGAAAUUUUCUGUUUUCUUUAACAGUUUGAAGAAGGGCAUCCCCCUCUCGCCGAGUCGUGAGACAAACCGGCUGAGCGCCGCCAUGCAUCCAGUCAGCUUUUGAACAUCUUUCUGAGAACUCAGCGGUUUCAUGUUGAGGAUGGCGUUGACUUUCUCCGGGUUGGCCUAUAUGCCUCUAUGAGACACCAUAAAUCCAAGCAGCUUCCCUAACGGUACUCCGAAGGUGCAUUUUCCAGGGUUUAGUUUCAUCCUAAAAGCGCGGAUGCUCGCAAAGGUUUCUUCCAGGUCUAUAAUCAAAUCAUCCUUCUGCUUGGUCUUGACGACUACAUCAUCCACAUAGGCCUCAACGUUGCGACCGAUUUGAGUCGAAAAACAUCUCUAAAUCAUGCGUUGAUAAGUUGCUCCUACGUUCUUUAAUCCGAAAGGCAUGGUGAUGUAGCAGUAGGCCCCGAAGGGCGUAAUGAACGAAGUCUUCAAGCAGUCGGAUUCCUUCAAUCGGAUCUGAUGAUACCCCGAGUAGCAAUCCAAGAAACUGAGCUGCUCGCAGCCGGCGGUCGAGUCAACUACUUGGUCAAUGCGAGGCAACUCGAAAGGAUCUUUGGGGCAAGAUUUGUUGAGAUCAGUGUAAUCGACACACAUGCGCCAUUGCCCGGUCUUCUUCCGAACUAGGACUGGGUUAGCCAGCCAGUCGGGAUGAAGGACUUCUUUGAUGAAGCCCGCUGCUAAAAGCUUGGCCAAUUCCUCCUUGAUUGCGUCCUUCCUGUCUUGUGCAAAGCGGCGGAGUCGUUGUUUGAUAGGUUUAGCGUCUUCCUUAACAUGUAAAGAGUACUCAAUCACCUCUCUAGGAAUACCAGGCAUAUCGGAUGGUUUCCACGCAAAGAUAUCUUUAUUAUUUUGAAGAAAGGUGAUGAGCGCGCUUUCCUAUUUACAAUCUAACUCGGCGCCUAUUACAGCAGUUUUAGUAGGAUCAGAAGGAUCUAGGGGGAUUUUCUUAGUCUUGGCUUCGCUUUCUCCACUCUUUGAGAUCUUGGUAGUAGGCACCUCUCCUUCGCUUGCCGUGGUUGCAGCCAGUCGGAUGUCUUCUCGAGCGAUCGCGAUCUCUCGGGUUUGGGCCAUCUCGCAACUUUCCUUGUCACAUGUGACGGCUUGCUUGAUGUCACUUCGUAGGGAUAUAACUCCUCGAGGACCAGGCAUCUUCAUCAUCAUGUAGGUGUAGUGAGGGACGGCCAUAAACUUGGCUAACGCCGGGCGUCCGAGUAUGGCGUGAUACGCUGUCCCGAAAUCAGCGACUUUGAAGUAGACGUUCUCUGUGUGAAAGUUUUCCCGAGUGCCAAAGGUGACCGGGAGAAUGAUCUGGCCGAGUGGUGUUGCAGAUAGCCCUGGGAUGACUCCGUGAAAGAGCGCAUUACUCGGCUUUAACUCGGUGCGAGGGAUCUGCAUGUCGUCCAGGGUCUUGGCGAAGAGGAUAUUGAGUGCGCUGCCACCAUCGAUGAGGGUUCUGCGAAGCUUGACAUUGCGAACCACUGGGUCUAGUACCAGGGGGUACCGCCCCGGGUGGACCACUCGGUCAGGGUGAUCCUAGCGGUCGAACUUGAUUGUUGUCUCUGACCACCGAAGAUAUUGGGGCGUAUCGGGCUGGACAGCGUUGAUCUCCCGUUCGGUCAGCUUUUGCUUUCUUUUGGACUCGUAAGCCAGAGGGCCACCGAAGAUGUGGUUGAGCUCCUUACAGUGAUCUUGAAAACCUGUCGGGGCAUCAUCAUCAUCAUCCUUCUUUUUCGACGUGCUUUGUUCUCCAUUAGAGGUCUUCCGUGUAUUUUUGGCAUAUUGCUCUGCAAACUGCUUGUAGACGAAGCAAUCUUUAGCCGCGUGGUUCGAGUUGGGAUGAUGCGGACAUUGGGAGUUCAUGAUCUUGUCAAAAGUGUUGACGCGCGAACGUUGUCGGGAGGAGUGUGUAGUAGUUGCGACAAGUUCCUCGGGCUUACGCUUGCGGUCCUUGUGAUUGUUACUUCCACCCCCUCCCGUAGUCGGCGUAUCUUUCUUUGGCUUCCAGGUAGGACCCGACUGCUUAGAUGCGAUAAUGGCGUCUUUGGCUUUGGCAUACUCAUUGGCUUUUUCAAACAUUUGUUUGACUGUCUUGGGAGGUUUGCGCCCGAACUUACCGACUAGUUCAUCGUGGCAAAUUCCUUUGGUGAAGGCGGCGAUGAUGACAUCGUCGGUGAUGUCGGAGAUCUUGUUGCGCUGUUUAGAGAAGCGUCGGAUGUAAUCUCGAAGGGAUUCUCUAGACUUCUGAAUGACGUUGUAGAGAUCAAACUGUGUGCCGGGGCGUUCAAAGGUGCCCUGGAAGUUGGCAAUGAAAUGGUCGCGAAGUUCCGCCCAUGAUCCAAUCGUGCCACGGGGUAAUCCGUGGAGCCAGGAUCGGGCAAAAUCCGCUAGGGCCACAGGUAAGUAGUUUGCCAUGGCCUUGCUGUCUCCUCCUGCUGCACGGAUUGCGAGACCGUAGACGGUAAGCCAAGACUCUGGAUUGGUGGUGCCGUCAUACUUCUCGAUUCCAGUCGGCUUGAAGCCGGCUGGCCAAUCCACUCGACGCAGGUCGUUAGUAAAGGAAGCUACUCCAUCCAUGUCGUCGUCGUAGUGAUCUGGUGAAUGGCGGUAACCUCGUGCUGCACGGCGCUGGUUGAUCGUAUCGCGAAGAUCGACGGGAUGCCGGCGAGGUGGGGAGCGAGGCCGUUCAACUCGGCGCACCCUGUGUCGCUCAGGGGGCAAGUGAACAGAUCGCUCGUCGUGGCCCCUGCUCCUGCGAUUGGAUCCUGCGCCGGCGAUGCUGAGGCUUGGCUGGUGAUAAUCAUGAGAUCGGAGAUGGGGAACCCGGCUGCCAGUCGGCGUGCGGAUGCUUUCGGAGUUAACCGGGACCGAAGCGGCGAUCAUGGUCUUGGUCUGGUUCAAGAUGUUGACGACGUGGUCAGCUUGGUUGAGUGCGUCUUCCUUGAGGAGGGUGAUCGCAGCGACAGCGUUCUGUUGGGGGGUGCGGAAAACCGCUGUCCCCUCAACAUCUUGCUGCCCGAUGAGAUCUCGCACUUGUCGCCCUGCGUCCAAGGCUCUUUGUCGUCGGUCCUCGGCCUCCUUUGCAGCCCGCUCGCGUUCUUGUUGCUCUCGCCGCAGCCGUUCUUGCUCUUGUGCUUGGCGCUCCUCUUCCAGUCGGCGUCGCUCGGCCUCCUGCUGUACGCGUCGUGCUUCUGCUUCUCGGGCUUGGCGUUGUUCUUCCAUCUCGUUGUCGGCCAUGAAGACGCCGAAGUAGAGAGGGGUGUAAUUGUCUUCCAAGCUUUCGUCGAAGUCGUCGAGGUCGUGGUUGUCGUAGCGGUAGCCGAAUUCGUCAUACUCCACGAUCUCUGUUAGUCGCGAGUCGAUGCCGGGGGAGCUGAAGUAGCCUUCCAAUUGAUCCGUCGAAACCGUGCCGAGUGGCUGGAGUAUGACGCCGACUUCCCUGGAGCUAGGCAGGAUCGGUGUUGAAGCCGACUUCCGCCUAGGCCUACGGGGAGAAGACGCCCUUGUAGUGAAGACGGUAGCCAAAUCGUCGGGGAGUUUCAUCAGGAUUGGCGGGUAGGCCGCAUCAUCUUGAUCUGGUGGUGUUGGAGUAGAUGGGAUCUCGUCCGAGUGGUUUGAAGCCGACUCAAUCAAGAUAAGCUUGGAGUAGAUCUCGGCCGAGUUCGGAAUACCGAACGGGGCUGAGACCUGGUUCUUUCCUGACUGGUUCGAAUCCGAGUCGAGGAGAGAGAUCUUGCCGAAGUCGUUGGUGAUGAAGUCGAGGCUGCCGAACCAAAACGCCUGCCCGGGAGGGAAGGCGAAGUCGUCAAUGUCGGAGACGGAACCCAUCGCACUGAUCGGCGAAAGAACUUGACGCAACCCCUACCUGGCGCGCCAACUGUCGAAACAAGAUUUCGGCAAUACUAAAAGGGGUGGCUAUCAAGCUAGAAAAGUGGAUGGGUUUGGAGACAAGGAAUUUUAUAUAGGUUCAGGCCUUCUUAUUCAAGAAGUAAUACCCUACUCCUGUCCGGGGAUGAUUCCGCCGAGUGUAUUAUUGAUCGUAUGAUCUGGGAGAAAAUCGUGUCCCAAGAGGCCGGACCCUUCCUUAUAUAGGAGAAGGGGUCCGUAUUACAAAAUACAGUCCAUAUCCUUAACGGAAUAUGAGAUUACAGAUAAAAUACAAUCGUAACCGACUAGGAUCCCGGGUAUUUCCUUGACAUACAAGUUCAGAAACUUAACCCGAGUCCUCAUAAAGAUAUUCUAUCUAUAUUUGGUACCCUGUACCCAACUAGACUAUAACUGCCGUGUAGAUAUGGGGUAUCCAUAAUCUCCACACUCAGGUAUUAACUCACUGUGAAAUGAGAGAUUUAAAGGUCAAAGCAGAACUGCAGACAUGAAACUAACCUGAACUCAUUUCUUGUUCAUAAGAGUAACAUGAACUCAUUUUCUGUCCACAAGAGUUACUAGUAAUAAGCUGCAUGCCAACGUUCUUUGAUACUUCACUGAAGUUUUGUAGACCAUCUCAACGGUGUGGAAUACAGAGAAGAUAAUUGUACCUUUUGUUAUCUGCAGUCUGCAGACUGCAGAUUGUCCAUUUUAUACCUAGUACGAUGCCAAUGCCAAUUCAGUAUUAUCUAAAAGGUAUAAUGCCAAUUAUCUGUACCGCUGAAAUUAAUCUGUAUCCAAUAUCUGGUCCCAGAUAGUCUGCAGGUUCCAGAAAUGAAGUUUGAUGCAGAAAUGGUUGUGCUGGUUUUACAUCAUUUUGGUGCUGAAAUGGAUAAUUCGGUGUGAAAACAUGCUUCUCAAUUCUUAGGCAUUCCUGAUAGAUGGUGUCAGGCCUUUCACUGAAUGAUCUAAAUUUUUAUGCAUAUAAUGUAAAGUCCGCUCGUGUUAUUGGUAAUUGAACUACUAAGCUAGUCUGAUAUAAUCAUGUCAACAUUCUUUGACAUUUCAGUAAUCUUUGGCAGAUGAGCAUAUCGAUCAGCUGCAAAGGAAUACAGAAAAUUGGAUUUUUUGGGGGAAAGAUAAUUGAAUUUUUUAUAUCUACAGAUUGUCCUGGUUCAUCAGUAUUGCUACAGUUCUAACUUUUACUCCUAGACUCCUUGGAACAAUGCCAAUUCACAUCAUAAAAAAAAUGUUUGCCGUUUUAUCUGCACCACUGAAUUUAAUCUGUAUCCAAUAUUCAGUCCCAGAUCAUGUGGAGGUUUGCAGAGUACCAGUCCUCUGGAACUGAAAUUUUCCAAUACUUUUCAAAUAGAACGAAAUUAAGGUGCUUCUCAAAACUAGUUUUGAAUUCAAAUUGCAACCUGCAAGUUGCCAUCGAUCAAGUCUUGCAACGCAAGCAGGCUCCGCUUCCUCCGCAGCUUCCAGAAUUUGUUCGAAACGAAGCAAACUGGAGCACGCAACUAUCCAAAAUAUAUACUACUAGCAGCAGCGUCUUCCUCCUCGUCGUCUUCAACCUCUCUCGUGUCGCGUGCCAUUCGCCAUCGCCACCACCUCCACUACUCGAUCCCCUCCCAUCCCUCUGGAACCUCCACUACUACUCGCCCCACCAAUGGCUGACGGCGAGUCUCCGCCAUGGGCGGAGCUCGUCCCCGACAUCGUCCGCGAGAUCGGCCGCCACCUCCUGUGCGAGAUUGACCGCCACCAUGCGGAUGGCCUCUGCAGGUCCUGGCGCGACGCGCUCCUACAACUCCGGCCCCCGCCUCCGCCGCUCCCGCGGCUCGUCCUCCCGGAAGCCGACGGGCCCGCGUUCUACUGCGUCCCUAGCGGCUGCCGCCCCCACCCCUUCGUCCUCCCGCCCGCCGCGCUCCGCGCGCGGUGCUUCGGCUCGUACGACGGAGCCUGGAUCUUCCAGGCCGUCGACCAGGCGGCGAACCACGUCCUCCUCAACCUCAUCACCCACCAGCAGCUCAACCUCCCCAACCUGCUCCGUUUCCACUCCUUCAUGCUUCCGGCAUUGACAUUUGACUUCGAGGUCGCCUUCGUCGCGGCCACCCUCUCUAGCCGGCCGACUGAUCAGGGAUGCGUCGGCGCCGGCAUCAUCAGCUUCAACCGCGUGCCCCACGACCCAAGGCACAUCGCGUUCUGGUGCAUGGGCGAUGAGGCGUUCUCGUGGUCCAUCCAGAUGACGAGGAAUAUUGGCGGGGCACUGGAACUGGAUGUGGUGGACCUCCUGUACAGCAGCCAUGGCGCUGGCGCCUUCCUCUUCCUCACCCGACGGGAAGACAUCCAUGUGUUUCGUCAACCGAUAUUCCCUCAGGGAGACGUGAUGCAGUCGACACCGCUCUACUUCGAGCGGCGCGGUGACGACGACGACGACGACGGGCGGCCGGUCCUUGAUCGCUACCUCGUGGAGUCCCGAGGGAAGCUGCUCAUGGUCGUCAGGUUAGGAGAUCGUGAGCCUGCCCGCUUGCCGACCACGACGUUCCGGGUGUUCGAGAGAGAAGACGAGCUGUUCAACAACUACUGGACCAAGCUGCCCGACCUUGGCGGCCGCAUGCUGUUCGUCGGAAGAGGCUGCUCCAGAUCAUACGAAGCGGCGGAUGGGUACCCCGGCAUGGAGGGCGUCUACUUCCUGGAUGACCGGAGCUUCCACGACCCGAUGGUUGUGCACAUGAAUGCCGCCGAUCGGCAGUAUCCCUGCAGCGACAACGGGAGAUGGUCGGGAGCACAGCCACCAGCGGAGGUAGAGCUCUGCUUCCCGGAGCAAGGUCGGUCGAACUACUCCCCUCCGGUUUGGAUUCUCCCAUGAGACGCACGACACAUGUUUUCGGUUGUUGAAAUUGUUGCCGGUGAUCAGGCUAGUCUGUGAUCGUUGCUAAGCUUUCUGUUAGUGUGUUUGUACGUUGAUGAGUUGGAUGGUUUUCUCGUGUUGAAGUUGUUACUGGUGUAAGCUGAAGCAGUAUUGCUCAAUUCACUUGGUUUCUGUCUGCAUGUUUUUUCACAAAUUUGCAUUUCAAUUCAAGCUUCUUUUACUGAAGUCGCAAUCUGCAGAAAUGUCUUGGGAAUUGGAAAAUGCAGAUUGUUCUUUUUCUUUAUGAUUGAUAGUUAUUAACAUGAUACAGCGCUAAUGAUCUGCACUUCUGAAUUUAGUAGCACUAGCUGGCAGAAAGAUUAAUAUGUAGUAGGAUUGACCUUAUUCGAAUUCAUUGUUUCUGAUUUGGAUGAUACUGUACUGCAGAGAUAGUUACUUGUUAGUCCAGUAUUGUUAGCUGAACAAAACACAAUUUCGAACAAAAUUCACUUGCAUACAGCCAGCAAUGAUGGAUGCGUAGUUUAUUUGCACCUUUUGCUACCUUAAGUGCCUUUUCCCCUUGUGAUUUUGGAUUGCAGCUGAUAAUUUCAGUGUGGAUAUGUGCAUGUUUGUGCUCAGAUUUUCUGUGAUCAGAACACAUCCUUUUUUUUGUUGUUGUUGUUGUUCUUUUCUUAUAUAAGUGGUGGAGAAUUUGCAUGCAGUCAAAUUUAGUUGUAAACUCUAGCUGCUACUUACUCUUGUAGUGAACUGAGAAUGUGAAAACAUUGAGUUCUUAGCUCAAGUGCAGAAUCCACAUGGUCUGAAAUCUGAAUGUUGUAUGCCCGGUGCUUCAUGUGGUCUCUGUUAUACAAACCGGUAUGCAUCCACAAUAGUAGCACACUAUUCUUCCAACUUUUCCAUGCAUUUUCCACUUUGGUUCUUCUGAUAGAGUAAAUAGCAGCUUGGUUCAUUUCUGUGAAGUUAUAGUUUGCUGCGUAUGGCUGGCCUUUUGAAUUGGCCGUUAUAACUGAACAUUGUUAGCAUGUUUUGUUCCUUCUUUCUGGUUUUGUAGCCCAAAAAUGUCUUUCUGCUGACGAUAUACUGAAUGUUGUCUUUGGACUACUUGCUUUGAUCGGACGGGAAGAUGCAGAUACUGUAGCACAUCCGGCAGACCGAGCCGGCUGUUUCUUUUUAUCGGCUUAAGAUUUUCAUGCUUUUGAUAUCUCUCUCUCUCUCUCUCUAAAUAUAUCAUCUGUUACUUUGUUUUUUGACGCAAGAAGGUAGAGCAUGCUCUACCUUAUAGUCAUUUCAUUGAUAGAAAUGAAGAUUACAGAGAUUAUUAUACAAGAAUAGAGGUUAUAAAGGUAGCAUAAGGAAGAGAGAAGACAUAGAUAGAGGGGAGGGGUAGGGUGGUGGGAUGGAUUUACAGAGUUAUAUACACUAGGCUGUUCCCUAGGAAAGCCUUGAACACCAAGAUCUAAUUUUUUGCCUGGUUCUCUCAUUGGCCCUAUGACUGCAUAGUUUCAGGAUACCGGCGAUCUGCUGCGUUAUAUAUUGCAGGUGAUCUAUUUGUCCUUCAAAGAGCCUAUUGUUGUGCGAUUUCCACAGCGUGUAUGCACAGGCAGCAAACCAUAUUGGUUCUGUUGGAAUUAAUAGAUGGGCCUUAGCCCACUCGAAGAUUAAUUCUUUGGAAAAUCACAAAAGCCUACCUCAUGGGAUGAUAUGCAUGGGGAGUUUAGUACCAUCUUGCUUAUUCUAGGAAAGGGGGACCUCCUUAAAAGGGCAACUUGAAGUAUGUGAGGUGGAGAGAAGAGGGGGAACACACGUGCGAGCUCGCUGGCCUGGCUUGGCGUGGCGGCGCACAUAUGCGUCGAAUGGUCCGCCAAAAUUGGUUCCUCACCCUUGCGCAGAUGCGGCCUCCUUUUGCAGUAUUGUUUUGCUGCGGAAAAUUCGGAUUUGUUUGUUUUGGAAACAUUCCGAAAAAUCCAGUGCGUGAAAACGGCGUGGAGUCCGGAUAGGUUACGCGCGACUUAUCCGGUUACGCGGAGUAGAGAUCAUGCGGAUGCCAUAAUCAAGCGACCUUUCUCUAUAUAAACCGAGCCGCCGCCUCCACGCAACAUACGCAAAAUCAAUCUAUGCUUUGCCUCCUACUCUGUGAUGCGCCGUUGCUCCACAAAAUCAAUCUAUGCUUUGCCUCCUACUCUGUGAUGCGCCGUUGCUCGUAGACUACUCCAUCCCGCUCGCCUGCGUGCUCCGGCGAUCGGGAGAGCAGGUCUCCGGAACCUCUACCUUCGACGUCCUGCACCGGGAGAAGGCAACAAUAAGGUUUUUGGGAAGCGCUUCGCAUGACUACUCCCUAUUCAUCCAUGACGGCUCGUCUUCCUCUUCACUCGCGUGCUACGCGUCGUCGUCAACACCAACAACCACGAGUAAUUCCUGCUGAACAACCAGUCUUCCGGUACCCUCGGUACGUGCUCAAUAUGUUGCGCAUAUUUGAUCUGUUCAUGUUAUACUGUCUAGUUUACAUAUGUAGAUCUUAUAAUGCGUUCAUGCUAGUUUACAUCUGUAAUGUCAUGAUUUCUGGAAUAAAUUAAAUCAUUAUGUGCUUAUACUUUCAACAGGUUCUAUUCCACUUGUUGAGUGAUUCUUGUCCAUGACAGCUUGUAUGAAAGUCGGGGCUGACUCGGACUUGGCUAGCUGUAGUAAAUCCAAUUUCUUUCAUAGGUUGUUUGCAUUCUUACACCAAGAGAAUAUGAUCUGUGGGUUCAAGGGCAGGACAGAUGUUGCAGUGGGGGGUGUCAUCCCAGUUCUUUUUGACCAUAUUGGCUUUAGUGUUCAGUCUAUCUUUGAAUGCCAGCCAUAGGAAGAUUUUGCAAUUAUGUGGGAUUGUGUUGAGCCAGAUGUAGUCAGCCGGUUUCCAAAGGGAUCCAUGGUAAGUCAGUAAUGAUAUGCAUUUGCAGUUGAGAUCUUAGGAGCAGGGUAUAGGAUUUCUCGUGUCCGUUACCUCCAGGGGAUGGGUGUGAUGUCUUGUAGGAUGUGCCACAGUGUUUCCAGCUCUGAUUCUGCUUGGUAGGAGAGGUUGGGGUGGAGCUGUAUUUUCCAGGAAUUUUGUUGAAAUUGUGAUUGAACCAUGCAUUCUGUGUUCACAGCGUAUGAGAACAAAAUUGGGUAGGCAGAUUCCAGGCGUUGUGCCAGCCAUUUGUCCUUCCAAAAUAGAGUUGUUGUGCCAUCUCCUAUUUUUACCUGUGUUGUUGAGCUUAGAAUUUGAAAGUGUGACAUAAUAAGUUUCCAGGUUGGCGUAUCACUGGUUCUGGGCUGCAGCUGUAUAGUACUAUUUUGUAGAUAUCUUUUCCUGAACCAGUUGGCCAUUGGGUCAUCUGAGCCUGUGAGCACUUUGUUACCUGAUUUCAAAACCAAUGCUGUGUUAUGUGCCCUCAGGUCCUUAAUCCCUAAUACCUGUUGUUGUUUUUGUAGCAGUACUGUCUUCCAAGCAACUAGGCAUUGACCUCCUUUUACUGAUUUCUCACCUUUCCAAAAGAAGGCACACCUUAGCUUAUCUAUUUCCUCGAUGGAUUUAUCUUGCCAUAAGCAACAUGCCAUGUAGUAUGUUAAUGGAUGAUAUCACAGAAUUUAUCAUAGUUAGUCUUCUUCCUGUGGACAGAGGCAUCCAGCGAGCUAGAUAUCUGUCGACCUUUGAGAUGACUGGUACUAACAUGUUAUGUGUAACUUUUGUGGUUGACAGGGGCAACCCAAGAUAAAUGCACGACAGGGAGCUUGCUGGACACUGCAGAAUCUGUGUUACUAGUUCCUUGGUUGAAUCAUUCAGGUGUAUUGGAACAAGAGUGCUCUUAUGGUAGUUGAUCUGUAGGCCUGAAAAGCUUGCAAACGAAUCCAGAAUUUCUUUGAGUGUUGUUGCUUGAUCCGCAUCUCCUUUUAUGAGAAUCAAGGUAUCGUCUGCAUAUUGCAGUGUUGGUGGUGCAACUUCAAUAUCUAGGGGGUGAAUUAAGACACCUGUGCUGUAUGCCCGUUGGAUCAUUUUUUGUAGAACGUCUGCAACUAAUAUGAAUAGGUAUGGCGAUAAAGGGUCCGCUUGACGGACUCCCCUUCUCUAUAGAAUUUGUUCUCCCUUUUCUCCGUUGAUGAUAACCUGAGCUUUGCCUACGCAGAGCAGAGAUUUCACCCAACAAAUCCAUUUAUCCAGGAAUCCUCUUACCCCAAGAACAUUAAACAAAGCAUCCCAGCUGACCGUAUCAAAUGCCUUGUGGAAGUCAAGCUUGAGUACUAUCAUUGGUUUCUUCUUCUUUAGCGCUGAUUGUGCCAUUUCUGAGGCGAGAAUGAAGUUUUCAGAGAUAGAUCUGUUUUUGAUGAAGCAUGAUUGCAUGGGGUCAACUAACUUGAUUAUUUCCAUCUGUAGCCUUUUGGCUAAGGUCUUGCUGAGAAGUUGGUACACUGUGUAGCAGGGAUAUAGGUCCGAAAUCCUUGAUUUGAACUGAUGUUGUUGUUUUUCGUAAAAGGGUAAUAUAAGACUGAUUAACUCUAGAUAGGUCGAUGUUGUUGUCAACAGGUAUUGAAAGAUUACUUGUAGAUCAGGCAAUAACUUAUUGAGGAAACCCUUGUAGAAUUCGUUUGUGAAUCCAUCGGGCCCAGGGCUCUUGUUCCUUGAUGCACUGUGGAUGAUCCUGACAAUUUCUUCCCUUGUGAAAGGUUGACACAGGCUCUGAACGUUUUCUUGUUGAGGGUAGAGCAGAGACAGGGGAAAUUUCCAUCAGACGUUGAGGAUUCACUGAAUAGCUGCUGAAAGAACAAAGUUGCAAUGUCCAGUUUUUUGUAUAGCUGCUGAAAGAACAAAGUUGCAAUGUCCAGUUUUUUGUUGUUGUCAUAAUGUUCUACCCCAUUGUCCAUCAAUAAUUUCAUGCUUUUUUUUUUUUGCAUGUUGACUGAUGCCACUGUGCGAUAAAAUCUUGUAUUUUCGACUCCUAGAGUGCAGAAUCUUAUUUGGGCUCUUCUUUUCCAUUUUCAAGUGAUGAAGCCAUUUAGGUGUUUGAUUUUUUUUUUUUGCAACCUCUGAUGAAGGUAGAAAUCUAAAUCGGUGAGUUGGCGCUAUUCUUCAACUUUGUCGAGGUAGUCCAUUGUGUCUUUGUUAGCUGACAGAAAUGUUGGGAGGCCGCGCCUGCUCUUGUUCCAGGCUUUUGCAUUAGUUCGCAGACGUCUGAGUUUGUGAUUGAAUUUGGUGAUUGUUGUCAUGGGUCUUGUUCCUUUAUUCCAUCUAGUUUCAGCCAAGGUAAUGAACUCUGGUAUUUGCAACCAGAAGUUUUCUAGACGGAAGAGCUGUUUGAAAAUUCAGCUAGUACAAGUAUAUGGUCUAAAGUUGUAGCCACAAGUGCUCAGGGGCGGAGCUUGAGUCUAGGGGGGUGCCCAGAAACCCGGUCAAGAAAAUUUUUUAGUUAUACCUCAUCUAUUUUCACCAUGUAUGCAUCCCCUCAAUACAAAUUUAGACGCCUGCAUCAGCUUAAACUCGAUCUAAAGUAGAGUAAAUUAAGCAAAUGGCACCACCCUCUAUUUCGUUCUAGCUCUGCCCCUGCAAGUGCUCGAGCUGAACAGUUGGCAAAAGCUUGAUUCCAGCUAGUAUCUAUCAAAACUCUAUCUAAUUUUACCAAUGUCCUGCUCGCCACCGUCCUCGGAUUUUGCCGGUUGGUGGCUUGCUGCCCGGCAGUCUGUUGGCGAAGAUCGACUACAAGAUGUUCGACGCCGGGGUCAUCCUCGUUACGUGGUUGAUUUGGAAAGAGCGCAACGCACGAGUUUUCGAGGGAACAGCCUCGUCGGUCACACAACUGUGUACGAUCAUGUGUGAUAAAUGGGAAACGUGGAAAUCAGCAGGGCUAGUUAGCUCAUUGAGUGUUGCCGCAGCGCCAACUUUAGGGAGAUUAUAGCCUUUGUAACUUGCUUAAUGUUGUAAAGGUGGUGCUCUGACGCACUGCAUUUGUGCCCCCUCCCGCGGGGGGGGGGUGGUACAGUUUUCCUUUUUCGGUCGACGUUCUUCGCCGUCCCGGCGAAAAACUUUUACCAAUGUGGGAUAUCCUCUAUUGUUUGACCAACUUGGAUUCCUGAAUGUAGAUUAUUUCUGGUUUGUGCUCUAAUAGUGUUGACAGCACUAGUUCUCUCUUAUCUUUGUCACCAAGUCCUCUUAUAUUCCAAGAAAGGAUUUUCAUUGCGAUUGUGCCGGGACUCUAGGGAAACAUGCGGAAAAACAAAAAGAGGCCGGUCUGGUAGCCAAAAGAACCUCCUUGGGCCUUAGCAUUCCUUUCCAGACCAAAAAGAAAAACAAGUUGUCGCCAAAGAAAAAUAAGAGGACAAAAGUAACUAGCGGCGUGCCCAUCACUGUAGAAAGAAAGAAGGCACCAGGGUGUUGUCGGCAACAGAGGUGGCCAGCUUGUCAUCGCGGUCGGAGUCGGAGCUUCACGUCAUUGCCGCGACGGUGGUUGGGCUCUCAGUCUCCAUGUUACUGCCUGGGGAAGACGGGUUCAACGACAUGGAUGAGGAGGAGAGCAGCGGCGGCGUGUGCUAACGAGGAGGAGGAAAGAGAGAGAUGAUGAAGGGUUAGAGGAUGGGAAAGAGGAAGGGGGAGAGGAGGGGAAAGAGAGGGGUGUUGACGUGAGUUCCACAAUGUUUUUUUUACUAUAUAAGUGCCACGUCAACAUUAUAUAGGUGCUACAUCAGUCGAAACUGAGGGGGUGUUUAGAUGGGACUGAAACUCUUUAGUCCCUGUCACAUCGGAUGUUUGGACACCAAUUAGAAGUAUUAAACGUAGACUAAUGACAAAACCCAUUCUAUAACCCUAGACUGAUUCACGAUACGAAUCUAUGUGAGCCUAAUUUAUCAAUGAUUAGCCUAUGUGAUGCUACAGUAAACAUUCUCUAAUAUGGAUUAAUUAGGCUUAAAAAAUUUGUCUCGCGAAUUAGCUCUCAUUUAUAUAAGUAGUCUAUGUUUAAUACACCAAUUAGUGUCCAAACAUCCUAUGCGAUAUGGACUAAAGUUAGUCACUGAAUCCAAACACCACCUAACGUUCAAACCGUCUGGGACCUUUUUUUUUUUUUGCACUAAGUGUCAAGGGACAUGAUGAUAUAUCUGGUAUUACGGUUUAUGGAUAAAUGUCGGACUCGGCAACGGUUUAAGAGUCCAAAAGUGAACUUAGCCCACGCAGUGUGCGCUUUGUGUCAUGGGCCUUUUGUGAGCUGAAAGUGUGCGCAUGUGGGCUAAUUAGCAUUCUCGGGCCCUGAUAGCCAGCCCCCACGUGCGCAGGAAGCGGCUUGUGUUUGCUGGCAGCCUGGCAGCGGGACUUGCCCCAAGAGAAGAGACGUUUUUAAUUUGUUUUUCCACUCAAUAAUUUCUUGAAUGAUCUUUGUAUUAUUAAAAUUAAUUGUGUAGUUAUGAAAUUCCGCAGAAAUCCAAGAGUGUUUGACGGAACAGAGAAUUUAUAAAAAUAUAACAAGCCAAAAAUGUUAUAUAAUUUUUAUUCACUUGAUUUACUUCACUUCUUAAAUGAUGUACAAAUUAUUAUAAAUUCUAUAAAAAAAUUUAUAUAGUUUUAAAAUCUGUGGAAAACAUCAAGGUGUGAAAACAUAAUAUAAUUACAUGCUAUGGUGAGAUGUAAAUAUAUGUACAUAUAUAGUAUUUGUAAUUUUGUAAGCCAGUUGUAUGAUUGCCUCAAUCUAAGUUCCAUCAACAUGGCAAUCUAUAACGUACCAUGAUAUGAAAUUAGGAAUUGUACUGGUUCUCAACAUAGAAAUGAACAUUUCUUCUCAAAAAAAAAAGAAAUGAACAUUUGACUGAGUCAUAGAAGAUUAAAAUUUUCCAAUAUAUGAGAUAAUGCCUAUCUUUGUUUGGAAUCCAAAUAAGAUAUUCUAUGUCGUUGAGCCACCAUGUCAUUAGUGUGUGCCACAUUGCGAAACGGCAUGUAGCCUUGUGGUUACAAAAGUCUCAGUAGUAUCUAAGGUCCUACUAGGUUUGACUUCUUAUGGGAGCGAAUUUUCCAAGAUUUAAUGGCGUUGUGCUUUCAAUGGUAGGCGACGUACUGUCACGCCCAGAAAUUUAGCCCAAAUUUCCAGACUUUUUUGUGUAUUAAAUCCCUGUCCAGGACCAGCCAGGGUACACAAAACGACAAGUAAUAAACAGUUCCAAACGUAAAUAAAGCGUAAAAUACUUACAGAAGAGGCACUUAGUCCUCACACCGAAACAAAAGCAGCAGCAGUGGAAAAAGGCGAUCCUAGCGGGGCUUCAGCUCCACUCCACAGGCAAAACUCAACUGGGGUCUGAGCCUUGGUCUUCCAACUUCGUCUUCAGCUCAGAAGCACUACACUUCUGAAAAGGGGGAAAUAAUAGCAAGGCUGAGUACAACCACCGUACUCAGCAGGCCACACCAACGAUGCAGACGUGCAAGGGGAUUCAAGAAUGGCUUGUGGCUAUUUGCAUAAAGGCGGUUGUAAAACAUUUUGUUUAGCAAACAGUAAAACUGUUGAAUAAUUAAGGUAAAUUAGAUCUUCACUGAUCAACGCUACACCACGUUGAACAGGCCCAACCAACCCACCUGUACUACAGUGCAUUGGGUCGAUUUAUUAAGUGUGAGACUAAUCACGGUGAAUCUGGUCGAUCGCCCAUAACCGCGGGCACGGCUAUUCGAAUAGUUUUACUCUGGCCAGAGGUGCACAACUGUACCCACAAGACACAACCCACAUACAUGUCACCGCGUCAUCAUGUGCCCAUGAUGCACACGUCACCAUGUCGAAUGAUUGUGACGAGAUCCUUCGCAUAACCCUCCCCUAACCAUCCACACCACGCUAAGGUUUCACCCCCACCCCUCAAAAGGCAGUGGGCGGUCCCCUCUUGCUCCGCGGUGAAUCCGGCAGCUGGACAACCGGACACCCCGGACGACCCAACUCCAUCACGCCCACCCUCGCCACCGGUGCCUAGGAAAGGGUCGAGCUAUACUUCAGAUCAAGCAGUUACCCACUCCCGCUUGUGGCAAGCGCUGUAAGUCUUCCAGGGUUUCCCGUGAACCGGUCCUUAAUUGCCAUGGGUGCGACUCACAAAACCAUGCACCCACAGCCCACCAUUUCAGUCGCAUUUUAGUUGGAUAAUUAUGACCAUGAAACAUGGCCAGAUGUCUCGAGCACGCAGCUCAACAAGAUACUAGGAGGUCUAAUACUGCAAUUAUCCCAUUGACUGAGCUAGUGGUAAUUAAGCAUGGCUAAGCAUAUAGUUCUAGCUAGGUCAUCAAAGUAACACAAGCUAGGCGAUUUAUUACCCACGGUUGACAAAGAACAUAUAUCAAGUAAACAUGGCACAAGCGAGCAGAUAGGUAAACCCUGAUCCCAUGUAAUUAGCAAAACAUGCAUAUUUAUUUGCAAAUGGUAAAACAUUUAUAAAUUAGGAACAACAUGCUCAAGGGAAAUGUGUGACUUGCCUUGCUUCUUCACUUGGAUUUUCUGAACUCUUUUCCUCGCGACCGCGAUCUUCCGAAACGACGGAUUCUACACGCUGGCACGUAAAACGAGGAAAAACCCUAAUAAAACCAAGGAAACAGUACAUAAAAAGUAAACAAACAUGUAGAACUCAAUUUUAGAUGAAUUUUGCAAUUUGAAUGGCCCAAUUCGGAGUUCGAAUGAAUUAGAUAUGAAUUUUAGAAGUUUUGAGCCAUUUAAAUGGAUUUCUAUAAUUAUUAAUGAUUUAUUGCGCAAUUAUCAAUUAUUUUCUCAAAGGAAAAGGCAUUCGCUGACGUCAGCAAGGGGCCGGCGCCGACAGGUGGGCCCCACUCGUCAGCGGCACAAGGGGCAAGCACACGGUGGACUCGAUCCACCGCGGCCGAGGCGGCACCGUGGACCCGGACCACGGAAGUGGUCCACGGGACCGACGGCCUGGAUCGGCCCAAAGCCGAUCCAACGGCCACGGGUGGCGCGGCUGGGGCAAGGCACGGCUCUAAGCCGGCUGGCCAAACGACGGCGCGCGGCAGCGCGGCCACCCGCGGCGACGGCCGGCGAUAGCUCACGCGGGCGAAAGCGGCGCACGCGAGAGAGCAGCGGCGUGGCGCGGCAAGGGGGAGGCGGCAACCGGCUGCCCGGCACCACCGGCAAUGGCGCGGGCACGGAGCGCGGAGCGCGGCGGCAGCGACCCGGUCGGACGGCCACCGGCGGCGGCAGCGCGUCGCGAGGACGCCCGGGAGGUGGCCGACGAAGGGGAGAAAAAGAGAGAGGAAGGGGAGUGCUCACCGAGAUGCACGACGGCGAAGGGGCGGCCGACGGCAAGGAACGGUGGCGGCGGGGCUCCUCAGGUAGACGACGCGACGGAGCUCCGGCGACGGGCAUCGCUCGGGAUGGGGCGGACGGGCUCGGCCUCGAUCGGCGACCGAGGAAGGAGGAGCUCCGGCGGAUUUCUGGCAAAGAGGGGCGGCGGCCAAGGUCCUCCUCGUCCUUGCGGAGCUGAGGGAGGCAACGGCGCGGGUCGGCGUCGACCGAAGUGGCGGCGCGACGCGGCUGGAGUCGGCGGCGACGGCGGAGAGAGGUGGUUCGCGUGGCUACGGCGCUACGGAGGUGGAGAGGGGAAAUGGAGCGGUGGCCGAGCUUGCCCGAGCGGCGGCAACGCUGGCGGUGGCGGCGGCGCAGCGCGGAGACGGCGGCGGCGGCUGAGGCACGCGGCUGGAGAACGCCGGCGAGCGGCGGCGAUGGGGACCGGCGUGGGGAGAGCGGGGAAAAGCGCAGGGAGCUCGGGGUGGAGUGGGAAACGAAAGAGGGGAGCACGAGGGUGCUUUAUAUAGGGCUCGGGGAUGGAGAUCGUGCCCGGGAGAGGUGGGAUCGGCCGGCGACGUGGGGAGGCGAAGUGGAGCUCGGGAUGGCAACGGUUUUCACGGGGCAUGGGGGAAACGGCGCGGACGUGGGCGGCGACCGCGCCCACGCACGCACGGGAGAGGGAACCGCGAGAGGAAGGCGGCGACGUGGGGAGCACGGGGCGGCUAUGGCGGCGGUUGGGGCGACGGGAGGUUGGGGAAGAAGAUGACAGGUGGGGCCUCGGGUCCCACCUGUCGGGGAGAGAGAGAGGGGAAAACGGGCGAGGGAGGUAAAGCAGACUUGAGGGAGAGAGAGCCAAGCGGGCCGAGGGAGGUGGCCGGCCCGAGAGGGAGAGAAAGGGGGCGCGCGGGCCGCGGGAAAGAAAGGAGGGAUUGGGCCGAAAGGGGCCCAAAGAAAGGAAGGAGGAUUUUAUUUGUUUUCUUUUUUAUUUAAUUGGUUAAAUGAUCUUUGUGACUUUAAAAUUAUUUCUUGAGCUCCGAAAAUUUGCGGAAAAAAUCCAGAGAGUAUUUUGGGGCACAAAGAAUAUUACAAAAUAUUCUCGGCCAAUGAUUUUUAAAGGAAAUUUUAAUUUCCUCUAUAAUUUCACUUGAUUAAGUUGAUUUAACUUUUAUUUAAUUUCUAGAAAAUGUAUUAUUAAUUGAUUUUUAAUCCCGAACGAAAAUCGGGGCGUUACACGUACCCAUUGACAGCAAGGCGCCUAUGGUGACUUCGUCAAUCUUAACGAUUUGAUGGCCCAGUCUUCGAAGAUGCACAUAGGUGUAGUGUUUGCGUGCGUGUCUUCAUAAGAGUGAGUGCGCGAUGAUUUAUUACAAUGGAGUUGUGUGUGUGGAUAAGUGGCACGUGGGGAUAGGGGAAAUUCUCGCGAAAACUGUCCUACGGAUAUUAUUUACGGGCAUCUAGUUUACAACUGUUUGCGAUUCAAAACUGGCCUUCCAAGCCGGCCCUACGACAACAAACAAUCCACUAAAAAAUAGGACCAGAAAAUACCAAAAAACAGGUCAAUCUCCAUAUACGUACAUUGCGGCAGUAUACGAGCUAACAGACCUAACAAACGGCCUAACCCCUCCCGUUCCACUUCCAUCCACAUCCCCACCAGGCCACCAAACUCUCUCGGGCCGAAACGGUCAACGCGUUUACCGGUGGCAUAACGACCCGCACCGAGCCAGGGCCACCGACUCGCGUCGCGUCUCCUCUCCUCCCGCGCGCGGGGCGCGCCUCCACCCUUCCUGCCGCGUGAUGUAACUGAAAAACCCCUCGAUUCCCCUACAAGAGACCACACGACUCCACCACCAACCACAAGCCGCCUCUCCCACACCCCCGGACCCCGUCGCCGCCGCCGUGGCCUCGCACGCGCACGCACACGCCAUGGAGCGCUACGAGUGUCUCGGCAAGAUCGGGGAGGGCGCCGCCGGCGUGGUGCACGUGGCGCGGGACCGGACGACAGGGGAGACCGUCGCCGUGAAGCGCCUCCACGGAGGGAUCGGCUGCGGCGAGGAGGAGUGGCUCCGGGAGGCGCGGUGCCUGCAGGCGUGCCGCGGCCACCCGCACCUCGUCGAGCUCCGCGCCGCGCACCGGGAGAUGAGGAGGGGCGGCGGCGGCGCGUGCUGCUACGUCGUGAUGGAGUACGUCGACGGGCCGAGCCUGUCGCGCGUGGUGCGGGAGGAGCGGCGCGGGAGGCCGUUCCCGGAGGCCGAGGCGCGGCGGCUGAUGCGGCAGCUCCUCGACGGCGUCGCGGCGAUGCACGCGGCGGGGGUCAUGCACCGGGACCUCAAGCCGGACAACGUCGUCGUCGGCCCCCGCGGCGACCUCAAGAUCUGCGACUUCGGCAUGUCGCGGGUCACCGCGGCCGGCGCGCCGCCGUACACGUCGCCCGUCGUCACGCUGUGGUACCGCGCGCCGGAGCUCAUUCUGGGGUCGCAGGAGUACGACUCCCUCGUCGACACGUGGUCGCUCGGAUGCAUCAUGGCCGAGCUCCUCGCCGGCGCUCCGCUCUUCCCCGGGAGGUCGGAAAUGGACCAGCUGAACAGGGUGUUCGACACGGUCGGAAUGCAGGACAUGAAGUCGUGGCCGGGCUUCGCUCGCCUGCCGCGCGCCGAGUCCGCGCUCUGCAGCCGCGCCAGGCCGCCGAGCAGGCUCCGGGAGAUGUUCCCCAAGCUGUCCGCCGCCGGGUUCGACGUGCUGAGCGGGCUGCUCGCUUGCCGGCCGGACAGGCGGCUCACCGCGGCGGACGCGCUCCGGUGCGCGUGGUUCACGGAGGCUGACACGCCGCCCGACGCCACGCCGGUCACCUGCGGCAGCGCUCGCUUCACUCCCUGCGUCUCCGGUGUUGCUGACGCAAUUGUUGUAUAAACAAGUUAGAAAAAAACAGAGCAAGCUGGUUUCAUGGCCAAUUGGAAGUAAAUUAAUUCUUUAAUUAAUUGUAGAUUUUGUACUUAUUUUGUAUUCUAUUGGUUGAGCAACAGUUUUGUAUAACCACGUUCUUGGGUGAUUAAAGAAUUAUAAGGGCAACGUGCUUUGUAUGGGUUUUGUCAGGUGAUUCAUUGUAAUCUUGCAUGGUGGUUGGUGGAAAGCUCCUGGAAUGGGACAUUUUGCCAAGUUGUGUGUUGUUGGUUAGUCGUUUCAAAGCUGUAUUUUGAAGCAAAAAUAACACAAAAUGUUUUUGAAAACAGUAAUACAAAAUGGCAAGGAUUGGCAAAGAUAUGCCAAUUUGCAGUUGCAGUACUGUUGCACAAAGCUGUGUGCCCUGUAAUCCUCACCCUUUGCUUGGAGGAGGAAUUUCAGUUUUUCAGGGUAGUGCUGUUUAUGAACCAUUGAAAAUAUAUGCUUCCAGGUAAAUAAAAAAUAAGCGAUUUUUGAAAUACUUCCAAACGCAAAAAAUGCAUUUAAAAAGUAUUAAAUUGUUAAAAACACUUGGACCUGUAAAUUUUGUUAUGUUUUGGACCUGCCAAUUCAAUGAAUAUAGAGGAAAGUAGUAUUUAUAAGUCAAAGCAAAGAAAAUAUUUACUGACAACACGACCGCCUAAGUCAACAUCUCUGCUAAGCGUUUGCCUACCGCUAAUGCUCAAGAUCUUGACUCUUCCUUAAUCUUCGCAAUAAGAGCCACCGAGGAUAGCUACUUAUUCUGGAAAAUUCUCUAGUUCCGCUCCAUCCAAACUUCCCAAGAGAUUAGGAGAAUCAGGGAUCUAGUCCCUUUCUUGGGUAAGCCCUGGCGAGUUACUAGAGUUUUCCACCAAUCGUGGACUGUGGUCACUUGUGCUCAGUUUGCCGGUCUCAUGGGCUCACAGGCUAUUCAGGUGGCAGUCGCGUUCCAAAAUCUCCUUGUGUAUCUACACUCCGCCAUGAGGCAAAGAGAUGUUUCCUAUGUGCAACAUCAUUACGGACAGUAACCGCUAUUCUGCCAUCCUCCGAUCCUAGUCACAAAACAGAGUUUUAAAUUUUUUUUGUUCAAAAAAACACAAAACAGAGUUGAGUUUGUGCUAUACUGCAAACUAUAGUUUUUCUCCAGCUUCCUAGCCAUGAACCACAAGAUAGUUGUGUAAGGAACAAAAGAAUAACUUCUAUAUAAGUGCGAUAGUCUGGACAGAUAGGCUGAGAUGACUUUGUUGUCACAGGAGUUAGAUAUCAAGCCACGAGUAUUGGAUUUUUUUAAAAAAAAAAUUGUAUUGAAAGAUAUGCAGAAACAUUAUAACUUUUUUAACGCUACUAGCCUACCAUAUCUAAGGCCUUGGGAAUAUCCAAUUUGAGGAGGACAUGGGGUUCUAUUUUGAUCAUGCUUCCAGACUUCUGACCAACAUGCAAAAGAGCUCAGUAGCUCCUAUUCAGUGAAAGAGGAGGAUUUGCAGAUCAUAUAUAGUAUGCCCUCUUGUGAUUUAAAGGGUUUCCCCUUUACAUAUCUUGGGCUUCUCCUCAUUGUUCAAAAGCCUACUAUAACAGAUUUGCAAGCUCUAGUGGACAAGGUGGCUGACAAUCUCCCAUUUCAGAAAACUUCUACCAUGAAUCGUGUCUGGCGUCUCGACACAGUUAAAGUGGUUUUGCCAGCUAUUCUGAUUUCGUUAUGAUUGCUAUGGAUAUUCCUAUCUAGGUGAUCAAUGCAAUUGAUAAAAGACAAAUGUGCUUUCUCUAGGCAGGUCAGGAGGGGGCUAAUGGUGGAAAUUGCUUGGUUUCCUGAUAAUGGGUAUGCUGGCCCCAUAUGUACGGUGGUUUGGGAAUUAAUAAUUUUGAGUAUAUGAGCUGAGCUCUCUGCAUUCACUGGCUAUGGUUACAAAAAUAAAAUGAUAGCACUGGUGCUUGGCAAAGGCUUCCUCUUCAAGUACCUUGCAGUACUCAUGCUCUCUUUAGUAUAUAUGGGUUAGGGCGUCGUUUAGCAAAAGAACCCCUCGGCUUCCACAUUUUAGAGCGCAGUCCUAAUUCGUGAAUUUUCUCUCCUUCGCAUGCAAUAUCCGACUUUUGUAAGGGCCUAUCUGUGAAUUGACACCUCAGAGGAACUUUUCGCGGGGAUCUCGAUUGAAUAACGCACAAAUCGGAAAGCUUUUUAGCAAAUUUUCACCGCGAGCACAGUAACUUCGCCACAGUAAAAUCUAACGUGGCACAUCCCAGCGCUCGCCCCUUCGGCGUGCCUUAAUAAUAUGCGAUGGCUGUUGAAUCAAUAGUUGGUAAUGGACAGUCCAUAUUGUUUUUGUCGGAUGGAUGGAUGCAAAACAUAACCAUGGCAGAGUUGGCACCUAUUCUGGUAAAGAUGAUCUCAAAAAAUAUUAGCGAGCAAUAUACUGUGACACAAGCUUUAGAAAAUCAUGGGUGGACUGCUGAUAUUAAAGGGCACCCCCUGUCCAACUCAUUGUUGAGUGCCUGAGAGUUCGUUACGUGGUUGCGGUCUUCCAGGAUGGCGUCCCAGACUAGCAUCAUUGGAAGCUCACGAGGUUUGAAUCGUACACAUGCAAACCAUCAUAUGAGUCGAGUGUGUUACAUUUUCAGCAAGAUUGCUAACCACAUUCUAGUCGUGUGUGUGUUUUUUGGCAAGUUUGGUUUCUAAUUCUCCAAAGAUUGGGUCUGACCUCCAUUACUCCAAAUCAAGAUGCAAAGCACUUCUCUAGCUGGUGGUCCAAGGCAGUAAAAGGCAUGGAUAAAGAUUCCAAAAUGGGAUUCAAAUCGCUUAUUACAUAUUCUUGUGGCUAUCUGGAAAAACAUAAACGAUUGCAUUGCAUGUUUAAUGGUGUCAAUUCUAGUGUCUUGGUUGUCAUUAAUGAUGUCAAUCCAAGUGUUUGGUUGUAAUCCAAAUAAUGGCAAAUGAGUGUAGUCUUUGGUGCAUGGCUGGAGCUUCAAAGCUCAGCGAGUUUCUUAGUAUGUCACUGACCGCAUUAGGGUGUGGUCGAUUGAGUUUUCUUCUUGUAAUUGUAAGACUUUUUUCUAUGUACCGUGAGGGGGUGUUACUAAUUUCUUACCCGUGUUCUUUUUGUCUUAACAAAAUGCUACGCCGAUCUCCUGCCUAUUUAAGAAAAAAAUAUCUCAAAAACACAAAUUAAUUCAAUUACACAUUUUGGCAAGUAAAUAUGCACCAUCAUGGGUAAGAUUCUUUUUGAAUUCGAAAACGUGUUUCUGACUACAAAUGGCAGCACAUUACAGGAAAAUAUUUAGAAUGGCGAUUUUAUGGCAUUCACUCAUGGCCAUUAAUGAUUUUAUAACUGGUGCAGUUAUCCUUUUAUCAUAGUUGGCACUGAGUCAUUGACUGCGGGUUUUGGCUUACCGCAAUGGAGAUCACCGGAGAGCCAUCUCUCUGCGCUGCUACUGCUGCUGCAUCAGGCAACGAUGCUGCUGCCAUUGCUGUAGUGCGUUCAGCGAGGUUCAGGAAGGAAAGGGCCAGGGCUAGUGAUGCUACCCGAGCUGCAGAGCGCAAGAAGAGGAGAGCCCUGCAUCAAGCAGCAAGGACGCUUGCUCCGGCACACAAGCAGGCUGCCACACCUAUUCCGGCAACCACAAGACGACCAAGCGCGGUCGUUGCAACUAGCACGCCGACUGCUCCUAGCCAGACUACUGCACCAAGCCUGGCCACCAUACUCGUUCCGGCUACCACAAGCGCACCUAAGCCAGCCACGGCAUCAAGCCCUACAAAGGUACCAGCUUUGUCUGUCAAUCCCAUUCUAUCUAUCAUAGGCGUACCUAGUCCAACCACCACAUCAAGCCUGGCCACUACAACAACCUCGACUGCAGUGUUGUUCCCUAGAAGCACACUCAGCUCUGCCUCUACACCAAGCUUCACCACAACAUCUAGCCCAGUGACCGCACCAAAGUCCAGUACCAAAUACACUGUGGCCACCGAAAUCGUACUCAGCCCAGUCUUUCCACCCAGCUGCCAAACAACUUCACCAUGCACUGGUGGCAUGCCCAUUUCCGCAAAUCGCAAUGUAGCGUUCAAGAAGGAAGGGUCUAGCAUAUGCGCUACCACUCGCGCCGCAGAGCGCAAGAAGAGAAUAGUCUUGCAACGAACUUUUGUGUUACCUAAUCAAGCCACUACACCAAACCCUGCUACCAUGCCUGCCGCUGUCAACCGGGCUGAUGUAAUAAGUCUCCCAAACACACCAAGCCCCGAUGUCAUGCCCACAAUAGCUGCCACGGGCUAGCCAAAUACUGCUAAUUGGCCCACUACUCAGAGCAACGAGGAGUCGAGGAACUUAGGGGAAUUUGCUCUGGAAUUAACAAGAUCAAAUUUUGAAUUUUACAAGGGCAAAUCCUGGUGAUCAUACUUUAAUUGUUAGGUUCUCAUGGAAUAUUUUUUUUAAUGGUUGGAACCAGUAUCGUGUGAAAGUACUUUGUGAUAAGAAUGUAUUGAAAUAAUUUUUUAUGUAUUGGAUGUCAUUGUAGUUUUGACUAAUUUUUAGUCAAAAUGUAAGUGGGUUGGAUUUUAAAAGUAUAUUUAACUAUUAAUUCGAAGGUAGGUAUCAUUCAUCAGUUGUUUGUUUACGAUGGACUAUAUGUUGUCACUUAUGUUUGUGGAUGGUUGUGGGAUUACAGUGGGGCCUCUAUUAUGGUUCAAAAACCUUGAUAUUUAGAUGUUGCUUGUAAUUUACCAGUGCUACGUGAAGAAGUUGUGUACGAAUUCGUAGAAGGGACCACAAAAAAACAGAAGGGGAGUUAUUUUUCAACAAAAAAAAAGUGAAUUUGUCAUUAUUUUUCUUAUUAUCAUUGCAGUGUUUUUAAGAAUUUGUAAUGUAUUUGUAUUUCAUGCCUGAUCUUUUGGGAAAAUAGGCAUAAGCCAUGCCUAAAGUUUAAAACAUUUAUUUUGAAUUUAAAAACUAGUUACUGAUGACUGGUCCCAUUUUUGGAAGAAACCAACAUUGUCUUUGGAACGGUAUUGAGUACGGAGUACCUUGUAUUGAGUACCUUGCACAAGAUCAGUGUUGUGAACCUACUUCUACUGUUCAGUUGCAUGUAGUGAUGAAAUUACCUAAAAUCAUGAGUUCUGGAGAAUAAGUGCAGAAGGCAACCGCUAUUUAAGGCAGAGACCUUUGAAAUGGAAAUACUGUGGAGACUUUGCUGACAAUCCCUAAACAAGUUGUAAUAGGGACUCAAUCAUACCUAGAAGCAAGCGAUGGGUGGGAAGCAAGUCAGUAUCGUUGUAGGCUCAUACCCUAGAAGUACUGAUUAGAGAGUUGGACAAGUUGGUUCGCAUGUUAGAAUACAUUGAUUUACAUGCGUUUGUAAGUAGAUUGUCAAUAUAGGAGGUUAUAUACAAUGUACAUGAGUGACAGUCACAUCUCUCAAGAAAAAUAGAUUAGUUUGCCCACAGGAGGAAAAGAAGAUAGAUAUACAUCAUGAUUUGUAGAGAGAUCUUUCAAAGAUGAACAAUGUUCAUAUAGAUCAUGAAACUAAGCAAAGAAGGACUCCAAAAGAAAAUUAAAAAACAAUCGACUCCCUACUUCGCUUCUUCCGAUUCGAUGACCAAGAUAAUAAAGCUGACGGUGGCGACACGAAGAACAAGGUUGACUGCAAGAAGAUAGACCGAGACAGAAACCCAACAAGGGUCUCUCACAAGUGGAGGUGAAAGUAGACUCGAUAAACAGGAGAAAAAUCACUUUGGCCUUGUAUAUGCACUAAUGAUGACAAAGAAGGGCGUCAAAUUGGCAUCAACAAACUCGCUGGAGUUUUUCUGAAAGGCUAGCGCAUUACCUUGUCGUUGUGGAGGAAGAAUACCUUCCACCAGAUGACAAAUCAGAUACACCUUUGUUCCAAAACGCCUGGAAGGAACCCUAUCUUUAAGAGCCUCUACCUUGGGUUAUAUAUAUGGAUAUCUCCAUUACCACACAAAUAAAUCUCAUUUGUUGUGAAGGUUACCACACAAUGAAUCUCUUAUUUGUUGUGGAGGUUACAACAAAUAAAUCUCUCAUUUGUUGUUGUGGAUGUUACAAUACAAUGAAUCUCUCAUUUGUUGUGGAGGUUAUAACGCAAUGAAUUUCAUUUGUUAAUGUUGACUUUAUUCUCGUCUCUUACAAAACGGAAGAGCAACAGGCAGGCUCGGCUCGGUCGGCUGCCUCGCCUCGCCACGCCCACGGCCGAGGCCGACUUGGCACGCGCACGCGUGUGGCAGUCCAACCAUCACCUCAACCGGUCAACAAGGAAUCUCCAAUAUCACCCUAUUUAAGUUGAGAUUCGUCCACCUAAAUUUUUAAGACAGUAUUAUUGUCUGUAACAUUACUUGUGGGCUCUUGAGAUUUUAAUUGAAUUAAAUUGGGCCUAGCCCAUUUAUUCCAACAGAUAUAUUAAAAUUGGAGAAUAGAGAUUAGUGGAUUAGUGAUUACAUUACCUGAUUGCUGAAUGCUUUGCUGAUUAGAGUAGGCUGUUGGUGUCUAGGCGGCCAGGCCGUCCGCCGUCAGGCGGACACCGACAGGCGCUGCACGGCUCACGUCUGCAGCCAGCAGCCGCCAAGGACAGGACUCAGGCAGGCAGAGCGCAGAGGCAGGCAGGCCGGCCGACGACGGGUCACAGCCAGCGUCACCGCGUCGGCGCCAGUUUCUCAGCGAGAAAGCGACGACACCGCACUACCGCAGCAGUGUAGAUGCGAACGGAGAGAGAGUCAGAGAGGCGAGGCGUCGUUUCGUUUUCUGCGCGAUGCCGCGACGCGAUCGAAGGCCAAACGCCGUAAACAAAAGAUGAAACAAAUAUCAGAUUUUCAGAGCUAAUUGGACUAUCAAAUUACGAGUAGUUAUUAGGCUACAUCUAUAUACAUAUAAUGUGUUGAAGUUUUGGGCCUAGGAGGCCCCUGAAAAUUGGGGUCCUGUGCGGGCGCGCUGGCCGCACAGCCCUAGAGAUGGGCCUGGCGUCUCGCUGUCAACGGGUACGUAUUUGAUCGGACAUCACCGAAGUACCGAAAUUUUCUAUUUAUAUUAAUUUUGAAUAAAUUUGAACAAAUAUUAGCAAAAUUCAUGAAAAAUUUAAAAAUUGAAAAAUUUCAGUCGAAAUAAUAUCGUAUCGAAGGGGUCCGAAAUGGCCAAAAUUUCUAACCCUGGACAAGGAGGUUCAAGGCGUUGACGAUCUUGUGGUCCGCCAGGGUGUCGGGGGCGUUGUGAUGAAGCGGGCGGCCCUGGAGGCUGGAAUAUAAACCGCUGCAAGAUUAGCGGAACACCCAGCCUGCGCUCGAUCUGGGUUGCGACGCUGCUGAUCAUGUCGCUGGCACGCUGCUCUCCAGCUUCAGCGUAAUAAUAUCAAAAUUCCCCAACAAGCCGUUCCUUACAAAGAUCUGCAUCUUCUGGAAUCUCGACGACGGUGACGACAACGACUUGCUGGUUUCUCGAUCGAGCAACUUCAACUUCACCUAGAUUCUUUUGCUUACUUUAUACAUGCAUGUGGCUGUGAAAACUGGAUAGAGCAUCUCCAACAGCAUAGCUAUCCAACUCUCUAAGUUAAAUUUUAGCAAUUUUAGACAAAAACGCACUUCAACAAACUAGCCAACCGGAUGGCUAAGCCAUCCGGCUGGCUAAACUCCCGCUCGCGCUGGCCAACUCUGGCCAGCCAAAAUGGACUCGCCAAUCGUGGGCCCCAUGCAUGGGCCCACGCGUUUUCCCUCUCCCCUCCCGUCCCAUACUCUCUCCCCGCCCAGAUGGCGAUUUCCUCCCAUAAACUCCCCCACUCACCGAUCCAGCACGCCGGCGCCCUCCGCUAGCGCCGCCCCUUCGCCAUCGUCGUCCGCUGCUGAGACCGCUGCCGUCGCUUGCCGAGGCCGCCGCGUCGUCGUUCGCUGCCGACGCCGCCGUCAUCCGCUACCGAGACCAAUGCCGUCCCUUGCUGAGGCCGCCGCGCCGCCGUCCGCUGCCGAGAGCGCUGCCGCAGUCGCUUGCCGAGGCCGCUGCAGACGCGCCGUCGUCCGCUGCCGGAUGGAUGGAUGUAUCGAGCAGAAUAUGGGACGCAUUGAUCGAUCGUGACAUGAGAAAUUUUAAUUUCGCCCGCAAGCCAUGGCUGUGCAUGUGCAAAGCUAUCUCUCGCGUGUAUAUACAGCUCACGUAUGCAGCAAUCAGUUCACUACCAUAGCUAAGCUUAGCUCGGUCAGACUACAGAGCACAGGUUGCAACGAGCAGAGAGCUAGGCGAAAUCAAUCGGAAUUCGGAGAUGGUGCCGCCGUCCGCUGCGGACAUGCCGCCGUCCGCUGCCAAGAGCGCCGCCGCAGUCGCUUGCCAAGGCCGACGCGCCGUUGUCCGCUGCCGAGGCCGCCGCUGUCCACUGCCAACGCGCCGCCGUCCACUGCCGAGAGCACCCCGUCGUCGUCCGCUGCCGACGCGCCGCCGUCCACUUCCGAGGCUGCCGUCGAGUCUACUCCGCUGCCCCCACGCCGUCUUCGCCCCCGCGCUGCUGCUGCUCCCGACCGAGGAUGUGGCGGCGGCAUGGAGAAAGGGGGAGCGGCGGUGGUGUGGAGUGAGUGAGAGAGGAGGGUUGAAGAACUGUAUGGAGGCUAACAUGUGGGACCCACUGUCAUAGACUUAAAAUGGAGAGGGUAGAUAGAGAGGCUGUUGGAGUGGAUAACGAGUUUGACUUGCUAAAUCAGAUGAAGAGUUAGCUAUAUGGGUAUUUAGAGAGUCUAAUUUGGAGAGACUGUUGGAGUUGCUCGGAUCCUCUCCUAUCCUACUCCAACGCGAACCAGUACUGGCCGUGCGCUCCUCUCUGCAUCACGAAUUGUUUGGCCGCGAUAAUCUGUCCACGGGACGUGGUCAUCUCGAAAAUCUCCACGGCAAUACCGUGGCUUCAACCGUUCUCCCUGUUAGGAAACCGCCGGCCUAUGAAGGCCCGGCCCCGGUUACCCACUAAUUGGGCCCAUCACUAAACAUGGAAGGUGGAAGAGGGAAUGGCUAUAAAUAGAGGAGUAGAAAGGUGGAAGAGGGAAUGGCUAUAAAUAGAGGAGUAGAGAGGAGGAUUGUACACUUGAGAAUGCAAUGGAUGAAUGAGAAAGGAUGCCACACCCUCAUAUCUUGUGUCUCCACUUUUGUAGAAUUACGGGACUCUCUUUGACUACUUCGUGUGGCAGGAGGGUUGCGUAAUACGUUACCGGAGAUCAAAGAAAGAAGAAGGGUAAGAACUCGCAAAUCCAUUUUGCAUCUCGUUGAAUCAAUCGUGAAAACGAAUUCCUCUCCCCGUUCUCGUUUUGUGUUGCCGUUCUCGACGAAAUCCUCCACAGCCGACUUGGAGUCGCCGGCGUAUGCCGAUUGGUGGAAACGGUGGAAGGCAAACACGACGUUGCGGUGCCGGUGACGCGCCAUGGUGGCGAACCUGAGCCAUGGCAGCGAACCUGUACAUGCGACACCACGGGCCGCACCCUGCAAGGGGCGUGCCGACGUGCCAUGGAAGCACUGGCCGGAGAGGACGUAAGGAACAAGAAGAAAAGAAGGAAAAAGCAAGAAAAAUUGAUGACCACCGGAGCACGACAGCCGCGGCGUCGCAUGCCUUGCCGUCGAUCCGGCUUCAUCCCACGCCGAGCAUCGUCGCCGGCUCUCGCCAGGUCGCGCACGCUGCCGUUCCCACCUCGCCGGCAGCCACACGAAAGCGAUCUGCUGCCGCCCGACCCUGUCGCGCCCUCAUCGAGCCGCACCACCGUCGCACGGAUUCGCUGGCAUCGCCGCCGAUCUGGCUAGCCGCCGCCGGCCGUGCCCCGCACGGCACCGCCACGCGCGCAGCCGCACGGCCCCGCCGUGCGCGCUGCCGCGAGCCCCGCCGCCGCACGGCAUCGCGCUGCCGACUACGCUGCUGCAAGGCGCCGCCGAAAACCGCGACCGCUCGCCGGCCUUGCCCCGCACGGCGCCGCCACGCGCGCUGCCGCGAAACACUGCCGGCCACUCCCGCACGGUGCCACCGCACACCGCCGCGAGCCACUGCCGACGACGCCCCGCACGGCGCCCUCGCAUGCCGCUCGCCGGCCGCGCCCGCAGGAUGCUGCCGGCCGCACCCCGCCCUGCAAUGCCGCCCGCGCCCCGCAUGGCGUCGCCGCGUCGCCGCACCGCCGCGUUCGGCCGAGCCCGCCGCGCCGUACCACCGAAGGCCGCCGCGCCGCCGCCUCCAGCCGAACCCGCCGCGCCGCGCCAUCCGCCAAGCCGCGCCGCCGCGUCCGGCCGCCGAACCGCUGUCCGCCACGCCGCCGAGCCGGAGCAGCCGCGCCCACUGACGCAUGGCCGCGCGCUGCCCGGACCGUCCUCACACCGCGCCAUACACGGCCGCGUCGCCGCCGCACGGCGCCCCACCGCAGACCGCCGCGCCCGCCGCCAAGCGGCCGCGCCGCUUGGCAGCCCUGCCGCCUUGCGGCCGCGCCGUUUGGCCGCCCGGCUGCCGUGCCGCCAGGCCGUCUCGCCGCCGGCGCCGCCUCGCCGCCGCACCUGGUUGCCUCGCCGCCGGCUCCUCCGCAUAUGGCAACCACGAAGUCAACGGGAGAAAGAACAAGAAAAGGAAAGAGAGAGAAGAAGAAAAGGAAAGAAAAAAA
rnacentral:lncRNA from 1 species